ACAGUAGAAGAAGCAAACCCAAGAAAAUACAUAAAAUAAAAUAAAAGGGUGCAACUUUUAUUGGCGGGUGAAUGAGUAGACAAUAAAAAAAAGUGCAAACUUUGAGUUCAAAACAAACCUCGUACCAUUGAAAUUUGAGACUUGGAGUCGCCCACGUGAAGGGUUUUAUGAGAAGACAGUAUUAGGCGUGCUGAAGUUAGUUUAUGCUUUUAGUUGUAAAUUCACAUCUAAUACUAGUUGAACACAAAUUUCAGCAAAUACACAGAAGAAAUAGCAAGAAUUCAUUUCAGAAAUGGGAAAAAAUUAAAUUAAAAAUAGAAAACAAAGGGCCGAAAAGCUGCAUACCUAAACACAAUUUCAUAUCUUUUUAUCCUCUUCGAGUACCGAUCCAUUCCAGAGAGAGGGAGAGAGGAGGAAGGAGACGACGAAGGGGGAGAGGAGGGAGAGGAAGGCGAGAGGAGGAAAACGACGGAGGCGAUUUACUGUCUGUGUUGUUCUCGCGGGGACUGCGAGAUGAACGAGGUGAGGAAUGACCAGGUGGCUCUGGGCUCAAGGUCAGUGAAGCAGUGGCGAAGCCAAGAUUUACCGAGGGGAGGGGAGGGGCGAAAUUCAAAAGAGUGCAAAGUUAUCGAAUGGUUGCUUUCACAUUGGAGAGUGUAAAGUUUUGAGUCAAUAUUCAUAGCAAAAGAUAGUUUUGCAUCAAAGUUGUUGUAAGCAAUAAUAUCAAAACUAAUGUAAGAAGCUUAAAUUGGCAAAGAUUAUAUCGUAAAAAAUAUUGUGUGCUAGUCAAAUAGUGGACCUAGCAGACCUAGGCGAUAUCUAAGCAGAAGCCUAGAUGGAUUUAAAUUAUCGUAAAAUAAGUAUUAAACAAUAUUUACAUUGUUUUUAAAAAAUAAUACAAUAUUUAUAGAUAAUGUGAGAGUUUAAGAAAAUACGGUGAGAGUCUUAAAAGAGAAAAUAAAAGGGAAGUGUUAUUGGCACUCCAAAAAUCUCAUUCUACACUCCUCACAAGUGUAUUUUUAUUUCUAAAUAUAGAAAAUUUUGAAUGUAGAAUGAGAUUUUUAGAGUGCCAAUAACAAUUCCCAAAUAAAAAUACAUACACGAACAAAAAUUUGAAAAAAAAGAGAGAAAUAGGUUAAUAAGGACAAUACUUGGGUACUGCCUUUUUUCAAUGACUACAAUGUCACUCAGUAAAGUUAAAACAUGUGUCCUACUUUUCUUAUUAAAACUAGCAACCAAACACCCUCGUGUUUAAGGAAGACGGGCAUCCAAACAACCCAUUUAUUCCUUUCGUCCCUAACAUCUCCGCACGUCUGUAUACCAUGGUUUCCAUUGCUCUCAUCAUCACCACUCCAUUUCAAACAUAAGCACAAACACAAACAAUAAUCCAGCAAUAAUUUACCCAUUUGAAAACCCAAUUUUUUUUUUCAAAUCUGGACAAACAACCAAAUUUCAUUGCGACCCGCCACCAAUCCUUAUCUCCUUCGGUGACCCACCACCAAUCCUUCUCUACUUCGACGACCCACCUCCUCUCACUCUCUUCUACAGAAAGACUAACUCCUUGUCCUUCUCUUGAACGACGGCGAUUGCUGAAGACUGUCUCCCCCACAGCAAUAGAAACCAGAUCACUGGAGCGGGAAUUCUCAUUUCCGACGAGAGCGGAGGGGCUGAACGAGCGCUCUUAGGCAUGUUUUCCGGCGAGGGGAGUGGCGGCCGCCACUCCUUACCCUCACGUAGCUUCGCCACUGUCAGUGAGAAAAUGAGAGACCUAAACGGCUAGGUUAGAAAUGAGAGUAUGGGUUGAGGGGCACAGAAGAUCUGGAAAUGAUUUUUACCUUUCAAUUUGGAAAUGAUUUUUGCUGACCACUGUCAUGUUCCGUGAUUUCUUCCAUCACAAGAAAUCAAGUUGGGCUCAAAUUGUAAUAGUUUGGGUUCAAUUUGCAAUUUACAGCUUUUAAGUGGUAUUUUAUUUUAGGGUUAAUAUCAGUUUACUAUCCUGAAAUUUUGUGAUUUUCAAUAUUUGGUACAUGAAAUUUUUUUCAUCCCAGAGUCAUACCUCAAGACUUAAUUUUGGGACAAUUUCAUACAACCGUUAGAAAUUCUGUUAACUAAUGACGUGGUGUUCACGUGGACAAUAAUUGAGCGCCAUAUGCCAAUAUUGGCCCACUCCAAUAUUAAAAAAAAUUAUAAAAAAAAAAAAAAGAAAACCCAACCUUCCCUCACCCACCCCCUCCCCCGGCACCCUCUCCCUCUGUUCUCUCUUCUGCAAGUCCCAGCACCUCUCGAUUUUCCUUCAAUUUGACCCAUUUGGGACUGGGAGCCAAAUUAGACUAGGAGUUGGAAUUUGAGGUUCCAGGGGAAAUGGGGAAGACCCAGAUGGCAAUCUGAUUCACCAUUGGAGAUAAAACUGAAUCUGGAUAUUUGCACAGUGCAAAGCUCAGAUCCGUUCACAAUCAAGCUAUUACAGAAGAAGACUUGAGGUUUGGACUUGCAGGCGGCAACGUUGGCCAAUGUCCACACGUUCAGGCAGAGGCUGGUGACCUCGACGAGGAUCAGAAGGGAGAGAAUGGCGGCUGCACUGUGCGAAGCGACGCAGCAGCAUGUGAGGAAGAUGAAGAGUGUGAUGAGGAUGACAGCGAGGGUGAUGUGGGCGAGGAGAACAGAGGCGUGGAAUUGGAGAAGAGAGAAGGGAGAAGCGAGGGAAGAGGUGAGGGUUGCAGAAGAGAGAAAUGAUGGAGAUGGUGCGGGGGGGUGAGGGACGGGUGGGAUUUUAUUUUUAUUUUUAUUUUUUUUGUUUUUGUGUUUUUGUUUUUAUUUUUUUAAUUUUUUAAUAUUGAAGUGGGCUCAUAUUGACAUGUGGCACUCAGUUAUUGUCCACGUGGAUGUCACGUCAUCAGUUAACAAAAUUUCUAAUGGAAAACUUAACGGAUGUAUGAAACUGUCCCAAAAUUAAGACUAGAGGUAUGACUCUGAGAUGAAAAAAAAAACUUCAUGCACCAAAUGUUGAAAACCACGAAAUUUCAGGAUAGUAAACAGAGAUUAACCCUUUAUUUUACUAGUUUCUUUGUUAGUGACAAGUGGCAAGACAGACAUGUGUAAUGGGUUGGCUAUAUAGCCACACUCUCUCUCUUCCAACUGUUAGAAUGAAUUUAAUAUAAUUUCACAAAAGCUGAGCUAAUCUCUUUCCUUCUUCCUUCUCUAUUUAUGUAUCUUGCUCGGUCAAGGUUGAACGGUAGUUUGAAGUUGGUGGGUAUCUUGCAAGUUCCCUCAACUUUAGACUAUGGUAAUGGUCUAUCCAUUUAUACCUGUGGGUGGUGGUAGUGCCUAGUGGUGGCUUGCUGUUGUCUAUAAAAUGUGUGGCCUUAUGCUUGUUGUAAAUAAUGGGUAUGUUUGCCCACAUGUGUGUACUAUAUACUCACAAGCUAAAUAGUAAUGUUUUGUAAUUUUCCAUUGAAGUGGCUCUAUAAAUAGAGCACUUCAUUUGUGCAAAAGAGGGAUAUAAGAAGAAGAAAUAAAAGAGAAAUAUAUCUAAUAGCAAUAAUAUACAUUACUUCCUCAGCAACAGCUUGUGUUGGUAUAAUACUCUGCAACUGCUUCGUUCCUGUCCCGAGUAAAGGUUAUCUCUCUAUAAAUUUUGCCUAUUUAUAACACGUUAUCAGCACGAGUCUCUAAGUAUAACCAUGUCUCAUUUACAUUCACUAAACAAUAAAGGAAAUCAUUCUCUCUUUUCUCUCCGCCGAACGAAAAAAAAAAAAAAUGUUUCCUCUAAGGUUUUUCCUGUUCAUCUUCUUCAUCUGCCUCAACUGCGCGGUAUAUCCUCGUGACGAACUAUUUGCUCCAUGCCUGCUCGUAGUUCUCCAACUAGCGGUUACAUACAUCUUUGAUUACUUGUUUGGUUUGGAUAUUGAUUACUAACAUAGUAUUUAUAUUGAUUUUACUGCGAUCCAAGAUGGUGCGGUAUCAUCGCCUAUCUUGGACUGCAGAUCUACUUUUACUGCAAAUUUCAGGUGGAGCGGUAUAAUCGCCCUCCUUGCUCUCCAAAUUUAAAUUUACCUGUUAUUUAAUUUCAUUGCAAUUUUAGGUGGUGCGGUAUAAUCGCCCUCCUUGCUCUCCAAAUUUAAAUUUACCUGUUAUUUAAUUUCAUUGCAAUUUUAGGUGGUGCGGUAUAAUCGUCCACCCUGCUUUGCAUAUUUAAAUUUUAUCGCAAUUUUAGGUGGUGCGGUAUAAUCGUCCACCCUGCUUUGCAUAUUUAAAUUUUAUCGCAAUUUUAGGUGGUGCAGUAUAAUCGUCCACCUUGCUCUACAUAUUUAAAUUUUCCUGCUGUUUAAAGUAGUGCGGAAUAAUCACCCAUCCUAUACUUAUUUCGAUGAGAAUGGUGCGGUACAAUUGCCCUUCUCAUUAAUUGUGUAAAUCUCGAGCCUGAAGUUUCGAGUACUUAUCAUUUUGGCCUGAAGAUCAAAAAUUUGUAAGAACCAGAAGUUCUAACAAUAUAUUUCUCCAGUACACAUAUUACUGCAAGUUCUUACACACCUCAUUUUUCUUUCAGAAAAGAAAAUGGCAAACUUGGCAAAGCUUGAUUUUGCUGCCCUGGACAUUACUGGAAAGAAUUACCGUACAUGGGUACUGGAUACCAAGAUCCAUCUGGAAGCAGCAAAUCUUGGAGAAACCAUCAAGAAAGAGAGCAGCUCAUCCUCUCAAGAUCGGGCAAAGGCCAUGAUUUUUAUUCGUCGCCAUCUUGAUGAGGCACUAAAGAGCGAGUACUUAACGGUUAAAGAUCCGUUAGCCCUUUGGAAUGCCUUGAAAAGCAGAUACAAUCACCAGACAACGGUGAUUCUUCCAAAAGCUCGCUAUGACUCGACUCACCUAAGGAUCCAGGAUUUCAAAUCAGUGGCUGAGUACAAUUCGGCGUUGUUCAGAAUUACCUCUCAGAUGAAACUCUGUGGGGAUACUAUCACUGAGGAGAUGUUAUUGGAAAAGACUUUCAGCACAUUCCACGCCUCUAACAUGGUACUGCAACAGCAGUAUAAAGCGCGAGGCUUCACUGAAUACAACCAGCUGAUAUCUGUGCUCCUGGUAGCUGAACAGAACAAUGAGCUUCUCAUGAAAAACCAUAAUUCCCGACCUACUGGAUCAGCACCGUUCCCAGAAGUGAAUGUUGCUUCCCUUGAAAGGAAUACCAUAUCCUCCCGUGGCAAUAAUUACAAACGAGGAUGUGGCCACAAGCAAGGUCGGUGGAAAGGGAAAAGCAAGAACCAUGGUGUCCAGUUUCACAACCAGGUUCCAAGGUAUAAUCCAGGCCCGAGCUUUAAAAAUACCAAUCGCCAGAAAGGAAAAGCUCAUGUGAACACUCCUAGAAAUCAUGAAGGAGGUUGCCAUAGGUGUGGUGGCAACGGACAUUGGGCGCGUACUUGUCGCACCCCAAAGCAUCUGGUGGAACUAUAUCAAGCCUCCUUCAAGGAGAAGGGUGUCGAGAUCAAUUUCCUUGACCAGGCUAAACCAAUGGAAACCCCUGAUCCAGUGACCAAUUUAUCAGGACAAUUAAACACAACCCACCUGGAUGCUACAGACUUUAUUAAUGAAAGAGGGAAUGAAGUUUAUGGGUCCGAUUGAAUUAUUUAUGUUUAAUGUACUCAUGUUUUUUGUACCUGUGGUUUAAUGCUCGCAUUUUCAAUUCAAUAAAAGUAGUAUUCCAGUAUGAAUAAACUGCUUUUUCUUUACUCAGAGAUCAUGGAUAAAAAUUAUGGUUAUUCUCAAAACAAGAUCAAUGGCGGAGACUUUUGUCUUGCAGAUAGCGCAACCACGCAUUCAAUACUUCGAGAUCGAAAGUAUUUCUCGAAUUUGGUACUUGCAAAAGUAAAGGUAACAACAAUAUCAGGACCAUCAGAUGUAAUUGAAGGCUCAGGAAAAGCCCAGAUUAUGUUACCAAAUGGAACAAUAUUGUCUAUAAUGAAUGCAUUAUAUGCUACUCGGUCCAUUCGAAAUUUGUUGAGUUUUAAAGACAUACGUCUAAAUGGAUACCACCUUGAAACGAAAAUUGUAGAAAAUGUGGAAUAUUUAUGCAUUACCUCCAAUGAUACCCAGAAGCGUAUAUUGGAGAAGUUGCAUGGUUUAUCGAGUGGAUUGUAUUGUACAUACAUAAAGACAGUUGAGGCAUAUACUGUCAUGAACCAGAAGUUCAUUGAUUCAAAGGUUUACAUGCUUUGGCAUGACCGUCUAGGUCAUCCAGGAUCUACCAUGAUGCGUAGAAUCAUUACCAACUCUAAUGGACAUCCAUUACUGAGCAGACACAUUAAUGUCUCGAAUGAUAAACCUUGCAAGGCUUGUUCCCAAGGGAAGUUGGUAAUUAGACCAUCACAACUAAAGGUUGAUGAUGAAUCCCCAUCAUUUUUGCAAAGAAUUCAAAGGGAUAUUUGUGGACCUAUUCAACCACCUUGUGAACCAUUUCGAUAUUUUAUGGUUUUGGUUGAUGCAUCUACCCGAUGGUCACAUGUUUGCCUAUUGUCUACUCGAAAUGUAGCUUUUGCAAGACUUCUUGCUUAGAUAAUUAAGUUGCGAGCACAGUUCCCAGAUCAUCCCAUUAAGUCCAUUCGACUUGAUAACGCUGGUGAAUUUACGUCUCAAACCUUUGAUGAUUACUGUAUGGCAUUGGGCAUUGAUGUUGAACACCCUAUUCCUCAUGUCCAUACUCAAAAUGGUUUAGCAGAAGCAUUGAUCAAGCGGCUUCAAUUAAUAGUCCGCACUCUGCUUAUGAAAACCAAAUUGCCAGUUUCUGCAUGGGGACAUGCCAUUCUACAUGCUGCAUCAUUGGUUCGAUUGAGACCUAUAGCCAACCACCAAUACUCCUCAAUACAACUCAUGUUUGGACAUCAGCCAAACAUUUCACAUUUACGAGUUUUUGGUUGUGCUGUUUAUGUGCCUAUUGCACCCCCGCAACGCACUAAAAUGGGACCUCAGCGUAGACUGGGAAUUUAUGUGGGUUUUGAUUCACCAUCUAUUAUUAGAUAUUUGGAACCCUUGACAGGUGAUAUAUUUACAGCUCGUUUUGCUGAUUGUCAUUUUGAUGAGACAGUCUUCCCAUCGUUAGGGGGAGAAAAGACCGUUCCAGAAGAACGGAAAGAGCUGACAUGGGUUGUUCCCACCUUAUCUCAUUUUGAUCCUCGAACCCUUCAAUGUGAAAAUGAAGUGAAAAGGAUCGUUCAUCUUCAAAGCAUUGCCAAUCAAAUGCCAGAUGCAUUUAAUGACGUUAUGAAAGUGACAAAAUCGCAUAUACCAGCUGCAAAUGCACCUGCCAGAAUUGAUGUCCCUGUUGGACAAAAUAAAGUGGCAGCGAAUGAUUCAUCUGGUGCACGCCUGAAGCGUGGUAGACCACCAGGUUCAAAAGAUUCAGCCCCUCGGAAGAGAAAGACGAGAGCACAACUGAAUCCAAAUGAAAUCAUUCAGGAAGAGAGAGUAAAUGACAAAUCCACAAUUCAUGACUCUGGACUUCCAGAAGAAGAAAAUGGCCCUGAAGAGACAGAAGUACAUGAAAGCAAAGAAAUCUCCAUAAACUAUGCAUGUACUAAUGAAUUGUGGGAUCGGAAUGAAAUAAUCAUUGACGAUAUGUUUGCAUUCGCAGUAGCCACUGAAAUCAUAUUAAGUGAUGAUAUUGAGCCCCGCUCUGUUGAUGAAUGCAAACAGAGACAAGAUUGGCCUAAGUGGAAAGAUGCAAUCCAGGCAGAAUUAAAUUCCUUGGAAAGGCGAAGUGUUUUUGGACCAGUAGUCCAAACCCCAACUGAUGUAAACCCCGUAGGUUACAAAUGGGUAUUUACAAGGAAACGCAAUGAGAAAAACGAGAUUGCUAGAUACAAAGCACGACUCGUUGCACAAGGCUUUUCACAAAGACCUGGAAUUGAUUAUGAGGAGACAUACUCUCCUGUAAUGGACACAAUUACGUUCUGUUACUUAAUAAGUUUGGUGAUUUCAGAAAAACUUGACAUGCGACUUAUGGAUGUCAUCACCGCGUAUCUAUAUGGAGAAUUAGAUACUGACAUAUUCAUGAAAGUCCCAGAAGGACUUAAGUUGCCUGAAGCAACAAACAAACCAUGGGGUAUGUUCUCAAUCAAAUUAAGGCGAUCACUAUAUGGGCUGAAACAAUCUGGGCGAAUGUGGUAUAAUCGUCUCAGUGAGUAUUUGAUUAAAGAAGGAUAUAUCAACAAUGUCAUCUGCCCUUGUGUGUUCAUUAAGAAAUCCAACUCUGGAUUUGCUAUAGUGGCAGUAUAUGUUGAUGAUAUGAACUUAGUUGGGACUCCUGAAGAGCUCCAUAAAACUGCUGAAUAUCUGAAAAGCGAAUUUGAAAUGAAAGACCUUGGGAAAACCAAAUAUUGUCUAGGCCUGCAGAUCGAGCAUUGUGUUAGUGGAAUUUUGGUCCAUCAAUCAGCUUACAUUGAAAAAAUACUGAAGCGAUUUGGCAUGGACAAGGCUUAUCCACUUAGCACCCCAAUGGUCGUUCGUUCUUUAGACAUUAAGAAAGAUCCAUUCCGUCCAAAGGAAGAUGAUGAACUGGUCCUUGGUCCAGAAGUACCAUAUUUGAGCGUAAUAGGUGCUUUAUUGUAUUUAGCACAAUGUACUAGACCAGAUAUAGCUUUUUCAGUUAACUUGUUAGCCAGGUACAGCUCUGCUCCAACAAUUCGUCAUUGGAAGGGAGUCAAAGAUGUUCUACGAUACCUUCGUGGGACAACAGAUAUGGGUCUCUUCUAAUCAGACAAGCCCACAAAUGAACAAAUCCUUGUUGGAUACGCAGAUGCUGGUUUUCUCUCCGAUCCGCAUAAAGCCCGCUCACAAAAUGGAUAUGUGUUCACUAAUGGAGAUACUGCAAUUUCAUGGCGAUCAACGAAGCAAACGCUAGUUGCAACAUUUUCCAAUCAUUCGGAAAUAAUUGCUCUACAUAAAGCAAGUCGUGAAUGUUCUUGGUUAAGAUCAAUGAUCCAUCACAUCUGGAAUUCAUGUGGUCUACCUUCAAAGACAGACACUCCAACUGUCAUCCAUGAAGAUAAUGCAGCCUGUGUCGCCCAGAUGAAGGAAGGAUUUAUCAAAGGUGAUAAGACUAAACACAUAUCUCCAAGAUUUUUCCGCGCACAUGAGCUUCAGAAGGCUAAAGUUAUUGAAGUCAGACAAAUCCGUUCCAAUGAAAAUUUAGCAGACUUGUUCACCAAAUCUCUACCAAAGUGCACAUUUCAGAAGUUGGUACAGGGAAUCGGAUUACGUCGGCUUACGGAUUUGAAGAAUGCGGAAUCAGGGGGAGAUACAAUUCAGGGGGAGCAUCCAUGAUACAUGCAUGUUGUACUCUUUUUCCUUCGCUUAGGACUUUUCCCACUGGGUUUUUCCUAUCAAGGUUUUAACGAGGCAACCUAAGCAUGCUCAACACCAUCCGGGUAAAGUUGUACUCUUUUUCCUUCGCUAUGGUUUUUUCCCACAGGGUUUUUCCAAGCAAGGUUUUAAUGAGGCAACUGAUGUUGAUAUGUGGGCAUCCAAGGGGGAGUGUUGUAAAUAAUGGGUAUGUUUGCCCACAUGUGUGUACUAUAUACUCACAAGCUAAAUAGUAAUGUUUUGUAAUUUUCCAUUGAAGUGGCUCUAUAAAUAGAGCACUUCAUUUGUGCAAAAGAGGGAUAUAAGAAGAAGAAAUAAAAGAGAAAUAUAUCUAAUAGCAAUAAUAUACAUUACUUCCUCAGCAACAGCUUGUGUUGGUAUAAUACUCUGCAACUGCUUCGUUCCUGUCCCGAGUAAAGGUUAUCUCUCUAUAAAUUUUGCCUAUUUAUAACUAUGCUUUGUUUAUUGGAUAUUUAUAAUAUUAUACAAUUCCAAUUACUUUAGUCUAAAGUAGGAAAUCCAAUUGCAUUGUUCAACUUCAACUGAACAGUGUUUUGGACCGAAUUUCACUUUAUUUACAAAAUUUCCACCACCCCUAUCUGUCGUUCAAAUUUUGCUUAUAUCUUUGUGCAGUGUGUCUGUUGUAUUAUCUGGUCACAGAUACCUUAGUUCAGUAAUUUGAGAAGCAUGGGGAGACAAUAGACUAAUCAAAGAGAUGCAUGUGAUCAACGAUAAACAAGUAAGCAUCAUCCUCUUCCUUCUUUUGUUAUGAUUCGUUGUAUAGAGAAUUGAGAAAAAAGUUGAAGACAAUUCCGCGCUUUUGAGUUAUAGCAAUUAAUAUCUAAAAUGACAUUGAUUAGUUCACUUAAGUGUUGAAUCCUUCGUUAGUUUAUCUAUGGUGUGUGCUUGAGAAUGAAAGCAAUGGACAUUAUAUAGAAUUGAUGUUCCUUUUAAUGUCAGUAAAGAAAGGAGUUGUUCCUUUAUUAGCAAUUAUAUGAAGUAGGCAUAUUAUACAAUGUCUACAAUCGACUAUUUUACUUUUUGUAUAUAAGUAAAAAUGUUGAUCGAAAGCCACAAAAACUACCUAAGGGCCGAAGAACUGUUUAUGUUAGAAGAACAGAAUAUGGUGUAAAGCUUAAAUUUUGGGCACUUCAAAAUAUGUUUUUUUUUUCAAUUAUAAUAACUUGCAUGAAAAUUCAAUUGGGUUUGUUCUAGUCUCCAAGAAUUUUGCUUUGUUUGGUUACUAAUUAAUUUAUGUGGUGGGAGUUUAGUUUUUCCUUUUCUGCCUAUGUAUAUAUAAUUCGAAAUGGACCGUUCAAUUUGCUAUAUAUAAAUUUGUAAUCGAAAAGCUCGAAAAAGAGGUGAAUAAAAAACAAUGGUGGUAGAGUGAUGGAGUUGAGGAGUUGAGAGUUUACAGGGUUUACUUGAAUUUUUGUAUGAUGUCCCUGGUAUGUUAGAUCAUUGAAACUAACUGUCUGGUUGAUUAAUCACUAAUUUGAAAUAUUUAAAGUGUAACUUUUCUUUAAUUCACUUUUCUUUUGUAUUUUCAUUGGAGUGCAGAUAAAAGAUAUUUCUUUUAUCUUUUUCAACCACAAACUUUCCGAUGUCUUUUGAGAGUGGUCCAACUAGAGUAUUGGAUGACAAGUUUAGGUUUAAUAUAUACUUGAGUUCCCACAAGGAAGAUGGUAUUUUAGAAGUUAACAAAUUGGACCCUAACGAUAGACUUCUUAGAGAUACGUCCUCCCAGUUUGUAGCCUUUGUAUUGAAGUUGGAAUUGCUUCGCUCAACUGAUUAUUUCCCAGGCUUAAAUCUAUCAAGUUGUUGAAGUUACCAAUAUCAACGAGAAUGUUACCGUUGAUGUUGGAAAUGCUUAAAUCAAUAGUUAGGAGUGACGUAAAGAUAUGCUAACAGUUUGGGUCUUUUACGACUUGAAAUAUACGGCGUACAGACCGGCAUGCCUUAAAUGAUAUUAUUCAUGACAUUCAUAAAGUUCAUAUCGUAAUACUUACGCAUAAUCUCGUAUUCACAACAUCACUUUUAUGCAAGUAGUUAAAUAAAAAUAUUUAUGACUUAAGCGUUGUCUAUCGUAUCUCACAAUCCCAUAGUAUUCAAUCUACAACUUUCAUUUACCUCACAUAUCUCAGGUUUUGUCUAUCUCUCUCUGCCUCUCUCACGCAGUCUCUCUCUCGACUUUCACUCUCUCAGAUUCGUAUCUCCCAAUCCCAGCGGCCUCGAUAUCUCUCUCGUCUCCAACCACGAUACCACCAUCAUCUCCUGUCAACUCUCGACUCUCUCCCACCACCUGCACUUGACGGUCCUGACUCCUGACCACCAUCUAUGUUCCAAAUAAGGUAUGCAGUUAGGGAUUUAAGAUUGAAAUAAAUUGGGGUUUUCUAGAUUUAGGGAUUUGGAUUUGGUCAAUUCUGGAAUCAAAUGUUAAUUAUAAUUUGUUUAAUUUUGGCAAUUUGAGUGCAAAAUUAGGGUUUUGUUAUUUCAAGUGUUGACAGUAAGACCCUUUGUCAAUUAGUAACCACUUAGUGCUUGUUUUCGAUCUGUCAUUGAAUACGAAAUCACGACUUUUAAUUUUUCAUUUUACAAGUCAUCAUAAGGAAUAGAUAAUUCUAGAAUUAUAGUGCAAACUCUUGAUUUUCAGUUUCAGACUUGGUUUUGUUUCAGAAUUCUGAGGAAUUUUAAUCAUGGUGUUGGGGAUUUGUUAAUUUUGCUCUCUCGCUCUCUCUCGCUCUCUCUCUCUCUCUCUCUCUAUGAUUUGGUUGGGAUUGCAGAGUGACUUGGGUUUCUUUGUAUGCAUGUCCCGGACCUCCAGGUCACAUGGGGUACUUAGCAAGGUUUUACUUUUGCAAAGGAGAUGGAGAUGUUACAGACUUACAGUGAUACUGCAAUCCAAAUAAUCUGUUUUGAAAAUCCAAAUAAUCUGUGAGUAUGUUGUAGCAGUAGAAUAACACUGUGGGGCUUAGCCUAGUACUUAAAUUAUUGACUUUGUUGCUUAGGAUAAUUUGAUUGAGUUCCUUUGGUAUGAUUUAUAUUCACUUAUUUAUUCUAUUUAUUUUUACUAUUUUUCAGGUAGCAUUCAAGUCUUUGGUGAAAUUUUAAACGAAGAGGUUGCAAAUGCAGCGGUAAUGAGUGGAAAAGUUUAUACUUACUUUUAUUAGUAUUGAAGUCUUUAUCAAUUUCUAAGUUAACAUUUUGUUUUGACUAGCUCGUAACUUACCAAUCGAAUCCAUCCCCUUUGACUAGCUAGAGUAUCUUGGUUGGGAACUCUAUCUGUUCCCAGCGCCUAGUAUCCAAAGAUGAAGUUGAGACGGGUUGGGAACUCUCUCUUUCUCUCCUUUUGUUUUAGUUCCCAAGAAAGUUGAUUGGAUUGAAGAAAAUGGAACAAAAAGAAAUGAAAAAAAAAUUGAAAUUUGUUGGUGCUUAUGUUGAUGUUGAAUUUGUAAUAUAUUAAGACCCAAAAACUAGAUAAAUGGCUAACUUUGAUGUAAAUUGAUAACAGCAAGCCACUAGGUCAAAAAACAGUGAGUCUUACCUUAGAGCUUUUGGGGAUAUCAUAAUUGAUAACCAUAUCCACCGAUCGAAUAUCCAAUCUUGUACUUGCCGCAUCAAUUCUUCAUGCAUGAAAUGUUAAGAGACUCAUAAAUUUAUCUACUUGCAAGUAUAUGAUUUUUAUGCAGGUUAUAGGAAACAAUAAAAUCGUAAAGGCAUAAUUUGUGUAUAUUUUAGUCAUUUGAUACAUGUAUGAGUGUAAAACAAUAAAACUGUGAAGGCAUAAUUUGGGAUAUAGGUUUGUAUGAUAGUGAUUAGUUUUUCUUUCAGUAUCACUUUUCUUACUUGAGAUUAAAUGUGUAUUUCUACAUAUAGCAGCACAAUAGAUUUUUUUUUGCUCCAUGUGCUUAUGUCUAUGCAGAUAGAGAUAGCAAUUAGUGUGGUUCAAGCAUUAGGAGCAGUAUUUCAUUCUCAAAGGACUUUGUUUGAAGGUGUUCAAUGAAAAGUGAAGUCUUUCAAGUGACAAAUUUCUUUGUUAUUAGAGGCCUAUUUGGUAUUUCAUGUGUAGUUUGAUAUUGACCUUAGCUUUGUUCAACUUGUAAUACAUUUUGACAAUAUGAUUAUUUAUGAUUAUGGUAAAUGUGUAAUUUUGUCAAUUCUUAUAUAUAUAUAUAUAUUAAUUGUUGAUGUUAGUCUCCAUUUAUGAUGUACGACGUAUGCCGUAAUUGCUUUCACAGUAUUACGACACUAAACAAACGUUGUAUCAAAUAUAAAUUACGGCACACAGGUAUGCCGUAAUUGUUUUUGCAGUAUUACGACACUUCAUUAACACCGUAUCUAAUACCAAUUAAGGCGCGCAAGGCAUGCCUUAAAGAGUAUUUACAACGUGUUUUGCUUAAAUUAUUCACGGCUACUAUAGAACGUCGUAUUUGACAAAACAUCUUUUAUGACAUGGGUUUUUACUGCUUGGGGGCUCACGCUGUGAAUAAUCGUUUACGGCGCUCUUUGUGCACCACAAAAGACUAGUUAUGUUGUAGUGAUAUUAUGUAACAAAUGCUCAAUUUUCUUUUGCACUCUUUUAUGAAUUUCAUUUGGAUGGGAAUGGUUACGUGACAUUACUUGUUACACCAGAAAAUGUCUGGUUUUGGUAUAAAGACUUAACUGCAAAAAGGCAUCUGAAAGGUUUCGUUUAGCUACUAAGAAAGUUUGGGAGGGGUCAAACGUCUUAGGUUGAGAUUACAUAUACAAGGGUGUUAGAUUUACAUAAUGGGUUUACAUAAUGAGUUGUUGAUGACUACAUACACAUUGAGAAUUUAGCUUAUGUCUUUGUGUCCGAUGAGGGAGUGGUUUUUUUUUUUUUUUUUUUUUUUUUUUUUUUUUUUCGGGUGUCAUUCCAUUUUAAUCUUAGUUCCAUUCAAAUGAAGAUAUUUAAAGAACCUAACGUAAAACAUCUGUACAAGCAAAACACAUCUUAGCAACGCCAAUAAAAUUAUCUACGAGAGUUGAUCCAAUCCAGGCAAGCCGCACGGUGGGUUAUUGAGGACAAAGCUGCCGAGAUCCAUAUUAAAACUCCAAUUUGGCAACUGAUGAGCAACACAAUUCCGCUCCCUAGAUACAUGCUUCAUGCUUCAGCUCAGCUCACAUCUAACCAAUUGACUCAUCAAUGUUUUGCAUAUGCUCACAAUUGUAUCAAGAGGAUAAUAACUAUCAACCAAAUUUUGUUAGAACAAAGUGACAGCAAACACCUCUGUCAAUAAAAUCUCCUUAUCCCAAAUGGACGCAGAUUGUCUGCCCUCCUAGUUGUGGUGCCGUUCCAUGCCCUCCUAUUUUGUGCGGUUACGGUUAAACCACAUCAACAUUUUAUAUUAAUUUUUUAAUGAGAUAAUAAGACAAAAAAUAAUAAAAAUAUAAAAUAUUGACGUGGCUUAACCGUGGCUGCACAAAAUAGGAGGGCAUGGAAGGGCACCACAACUAGGAGGGCAGACAAUCCUUGUCCAUCCCAAAUUGGCUGAGAACUCUACCCACACCAAUAUUGAACCAUCAACGUCAAGCUUUCACCCAGUUCUCGACUUUUUGCGUGUUUACUACAAGUAUGGAAUCUGAAGGGCUAGUUGAUUCGUAGCUCAAUACUUGAAAAUUAGGAGUCAAAUCAAAAUGUUUAUUUUUUAUUGGUAACACAUUUGCAAAUUUGGUUUAAAAAUUAAGUUACCUGAUAUUAUCCUAAUAUAAAUAUCUUUUGACAAAUAAAAAAUGCAUACAAAGAUAAAUUUGAGUGGUGAUAUCCACACACUCAUUUUUACCUUUCACACACCUUUAUUAUUUCCCGGGCUGUUGAACAAUUGAAACAAUCAAAUAAUAUAAAUUAAUAAGUGAUGUGUGAAAAAUAGAAAUAAGCGUGUGAAGAGCCACAAAACUAAACAGAUACCCAAAAAUACCACAACACACAAAGUCAGUCGUUACAUUUCAGUUGCAAAUGAAAAUUAUGAACACUGGGAUUUGCUCUCUCUAUCGCUGAGAGAUUCUCUGUUAUUGAUGGCAAUGGCGGACAAUGGCAGUCGUCUGCAAAUGCAUAACAUCGAGGAGGAGCUUCUUCUGCUUCAGAGCAGUCAGUUUCGACGACAAGCCCGACCGCCGAAACCUCCUCCGAAACGUUUUGACCCUUCCCGUCUUUAAAAAAGGCCUCUUCACUUGCUGCAGCCCAUCCCUUGCCGGAAGCAGUAUUCUCAGGUUUAUCUCACACAAUUACGGGUUUUUCCCGUUUUCUUUUGAGUUGCACGGUCUGUUUGGUUCCCCAGAAAACGCAGGAAAUUUUUGAAAGUUUUUGAGCUUCUGUAGGGUUUACUAAAGUGAAUACUUGACUAGGUUCAGUUGGGUUGCUGAUAAAUUCAAACAACGAAAUUUAGACGCGAAUGCUUUUAAUUGAUUUGAAGAGAAGUUUCUGAGCUAGUUUAUUGCUUUUGAAUGUUCAAAUUGGAUCCUAUAAAUGUGUCUGUGUGAUAAUUAGAUGAUUUGUUGCUUGCAGUAUGGAAGCACGAGAGAAUUCCAUAUAUGUGAUGAUGCCAGUUGAUGCCUUUUGCAUUGAUGGUACAGGGCGUCCAAGGAUUAGGAAGUAAGGUCAUCUCCAACCGAAGGGUCCAGAGGGCCAGAGGGCCGAAAAUAGCCCUAAAACCGUCUCCAACCGAGGGCUAGGCCAGAGGGCUCUGGAAUCUGGGAGGGCCCCACGGGAUCGGAGAGGGCUGGAGGGCUGGCUGCUUUCGGCCAGCCAGCCAGCCCCGGGCUGGCUUAUUUUUUUUUUAAUAGUUCUACUAUUAGUGUCGGUUAUAACCGACACUAAUAGUUUGAAUGUUUUUUAAUACAACGGCUAGUAGCCGUUGUAUUAUUAGGCCUUUUUUUUUUUUUUUUUUUUUUUAACUUUUUAUUUUCCCUUUUUUUUUCCUUUUCAUAUUAAUCAAAUUUUGUUUCAUAUUUUUUUUCAAUUCUAUUUUACAAAAUUUGUUUCAAUUUUUUUUUAAAUUCUAUUUUUUUCCUAUAACUUCUAUUUUACAAAAUUUGAUUCAUAUUUUAUUUCCUAUAACUUCUAUUUUACAAAAUUUGAUUCAAAAUUUGUUGACGUCACCUAGCCGUUAGAUUUGAAUUUAAAUUGUAGUUUUUAAAUAAUAAAUUAUGUUUGGCCCUAUGGCCCUUUGGCCCUCGGUUGGAGACGGUUUUUUGUGACAGGGCUAAAACGAGCCCUCUGGCCCUCUGGCCCUCGGUUGGAGACGGAGGCAAAUAUGGCCAUGUACUGUUUAUUAAAAUAUUAAUAUCUUGGAGAAUCUUGGAGGGCCAGAGGGCUAAAACGAGCCCUCUGGCCAGUCAUCGGUUGGAGAUGGCCUAAGUUUUAUUAUGACUUUAUGUUGAUGAGGCUAUGAUGCAUUUUCAUUCUUAAUUUAAUUGUUGUACUCUUUUAAACGACAGAAUAUGAUUAGCUACAAGGUUGCAGCUAACUAUUUUGAUCUGUUCCCAAUUCAAGUUAUGUACGCGUACAUUUCAAAAUGGUUCUAAAUAAAAUUUAUUUUUAAUUUAGUUUCCUUUCAAGUGAGACAGAAUCUCCUUAUAUAUUGCACGAUUUAUUGUUGUUUCAGAAUCAAGGCCUUAACUGUAGCUCUGAAAGCACUCAAGUUGGCUGGUGUCCACGGAAUUGCAGUUGAGGUUUGGUGGCCUCUUGCAUAUGAUUGGUCUCUAUAUGAAGGGCUUUUCAAACUGAUUUCUGACUCAGGUUUGAAGUUGCAUGUUGCCUUGUCUUUUCACUCAAACGUUAACUCUUCUUCUAGCAGAAAAGGGGGUGUAACUCUUCCGCUUUGGAUCAUAGAGGUUUGUUUUCUCGGCAAUUUUGAAAUCCCAUUUGACUGUUUGGCCUUUUAUUGGUAAAAGUGCACAUGGCUGUACUGGAAUGAUUAAUUUACCCAGUCAUACUCUUUUGUGACAACAUAAGAAACAUAACCCAUUUGGAUGACUAGAGAUAGUAUCAACUUUUCUUCAGUUUCCUGCUCUGCAACAUGCUAUGGUCCUGUGUUCCCCAUUAGCAUACUUGAUUUUAGCUUUGAUGUGCAUAAAAAGUUUAUCUUUGCAAAGGGAUGUAACAGAAAAAUGAUAGUUUGGCCUUCAUUACAUGCCCAUCAGUUUGAAUCCUGAAUUUAGAUAAAGAAGUUGACCUCUUCUGUUUUUUUUUUCCUCCCAGAUUGGUGAUCAGAAUAAGCAUAUAUAUUAUCGGGACCAAAAUGGAUUUUCCAAUGAUGAUUAUCUUACACUUGGAGUUGACCAUGUUCCUCUCUUUUGCGGCCGGACUGCUCUCCAAUGUUAUGAAGAUUUCUUGUCAGGUUUUGCUAAGAAAUUUGAAUCCUUAAUUGGAACUGUGAUAGAAGAAAUUGGUGUUGGUCUUGGAUGUUACUGUUACACUAGAACCACAAGUAUGAAGCCAGUCCAAUGAUUUCUUAUGCAACAUUGUUACAUUGCUCACACUGAUAUCCUGCACAUCCUUUUGGUGAUGGUAGAUGGAAGUUUCCUGGAAUCGGUGAAUUCUAAUGCUAUGACAAGCGCAUGUAUGCUAAAAAUCUUUCAUUCCUGUGACAGAAAUUUGGUUGCUAUUGAACUUUUCCUAUUUACAACGUUGUUCCUUUUAGGAUGGGCGACCUAAAGAUGGCUGUAGGCAAGGAAGGAAAGCCUCAGUGGGGAGGGAAGGGACCACAAAAUGCUGGCUGUUACAACAGUCUCCCAUCUGAAGUUCCAUUCUUUGAAGAGGGAGAGGAAAGCAUUCUUUCUGAUUAUGGGUGUUUUUUCCUUGUAUGAAACUGAUGGAAGCAUCUUGCUUUAUUAUUUCCCAUGAAAAAUUUCUGCAUAACUGAAGCCUAGUGUAAAUUGCAUGAAAUCAUUGUUUGUAUUUCAUCCUCGAACUACCACAUUGUUUCUUUAGCCAGGAAACACUUCUGUGUACGUGCCUGUAAACAACAUGGGCCUGCAAUAUAUAUUUUCAAUCUUUAGUGGAACUUUUCUUAUAACUAACUCUAUUUGCUUCUAGGGGUUAUACUUGCAGACUGUUUGCUACUGGAGUCUUAAAUACUCUUACGCAACAUGAUUAAAAGUAGAUGCAAUUUGAUUAAGAAUGAAAUGCAUUGAUGCUUGUCUUCUGGAAAGAAAAAAAAAUCAUCAUAGGAUGUACUGGUUAGUAAACUAAGGACAAUUAUGGAUGUAUAAGUGGAAAUUUAAAUCAUGUAUGGUUCUUUAUCAUGCAAUACUUGGCAUAACAUAAUUAAACUUAUUGGAAAACAAUGUGGAGCUUAGGAGAUCUGACAGUGGCUUGACUUGUUGUAGGAAUGGUACAGUGGUCGGUUGCUCCAUCAUGCAGAUGAUAUUCUUGCAAAGGCAGCUAACAUUCUGAAGAAAUAUCAAGAAUAGAAGCAAACUUCUAUUCUAUUGGCAGCUAAAAUUGGUGGUACCAGAUGAGAGCACAGCCUGCUGAAUUGACAGCUUGAAACUACAGCAGUGCUCUUAAAGAUGGUUAUGAUCAUGUUGCUUCAAUUUUGUCUCGUCAUGGAGCUGCUUUGCAUGUUUCGUAAGAUUCCAAGUUUUAAGGUUCUGACUAGAAUUUUGUUCAUUGUCUAACCUGAUAAUUAGGGUUGCUUACACAUUCGCUUGAUUUCAAAUGUAUCUAUCUACCAUGUUCACGUACUAAAUAUUUUAUUGCAGCAGCUUAGAAAUGAUGGAUGGUGAUAACCCGGCAUCCUAUCUUUGCAGUCCAGAAGGAUUACUCCAACAGGUACGGGGCCUGUUAAUUAAUAACACUUCCUUAGCUUGUGCUUUGUUGGUACUUUUUUUAACUUACUUUAGAAAUUUUAUCUGUAUAAUUCAAGCUUUUAAGUUAGGUAGGACUAACCCAUGUAGCUGUGCUUGUCACAGCAGGUCGUGCAGGGUCUCUAGGUUCAACAUGGGCUUGGAACGGGCCAAUAUGAGCUUUUUCAGUAUUACAGAUAUUAGGUAUUGUUGAUAUGUUUUUUAGGCUUCUUUUAGUGUCUUAUAAUUCAUUCUGAAGUAAAUCUUUAGUUUUAAUUGGGUUGUCUUGCCCAGAUAAUAAAGAAGAAACAUAUGACAAGUUGAUCAAUAACCAUUUUUCUGUUUUAUUGAAGUUUGGAAUAUAAUUGAUAAUUUGAUAUUACUAAACAACAAAAAUAGAAUUGCAUCACUAUACCGUAUAUUAGUGUCGUACUACUUUAGAUUGGCAUGGUCUGUCCAUUUACACUGGUGGGUGGUGGUAGUGCCUAGUGGUGGCUUCUGUUGUCUAGAAUUCUAUCGGUCAUUUGGUUUCUUCGAUAAAAUGUCUGACCUUAUGCUUUGUUUAUUGGGUAUAUAUCAUAUUAUACAAUUCCAAUGUAGUCUAACAUGAUUCGAUUUGCACCAGAUAUGGAGUGUUUCAAAGAAAUGGGCACAUUUGAUCGGGAGAAAUACCAAUGAAGGAUUUGACAGGGUCAGUUCUUCCUUUGCUCAAGAACAAAAGCAAAUUUCAGCUACCAUUUAUUUCUAUUAGACAUAUAUUGGAGACUUGGGAGCAGCCUCUCCAUAAAUGGAGAUAAGGUUAGCCGACAUUCACCUCUCCCAGACCCUGCGUAAAGCGGGAGCCUUGUGCACUGGGUACGACCUUAGACAUAUAUUGGAUAUUGCAAAUGUCUUAUAACUAGAAACACAUGGCUUCUGAUAGCGUUAGUUAAACACUUCUUCUUUUGCCCAUUCUGUGUUGCGCGUUCACGCGUCUGCUUUUCUCUUGCACGUUGGUUUAUGGCAAAUACAUACUAACUAUUACCAUUCCCAGGCCGAAGCUGUAAGAUCAUUUACAUAUUUCAGAAUGAAUGAUAAGAUCUUUAGGGCUGAAAAUUGGAGUAAUUUCCUUCCUUUUGUUAAAAAGAUGAGCACAAAUUGGUGAAGCAACCAAAAAACCCAACUUAAAUACUAAAUUUAUUGAUCUAGAGUAGCAGCCUCACUACCCUAUAAUUUUUUGUCAAGGGCAUGUGUAGAAGUUAAGAAGUUUGUCACUUCCUGAUAUAUUGACUGAAAUAACUUUGUGUUUCCAUGGCAGGCGUUCUUGACCUGGAAGUGUAAAUUUUUGAAACGGAUUUGGUUGGCCGUAGAAACUAAAUGCUUUACUAUCAAAAUACGAGAAGAAUAAUUGGAAUUGCAAUCUUGGUACUACUGGUCACAUUGCCUAGUCAAAUACAGGUACAACAUUUCAAUUUAAGGAAUAUACACAUACUGUCAUAUCCGUCACUAUACGAAAAUAAUGUAGUCUUUGCAGAUCGAAAACAACAAUAAGAAAAUGGAUCCGAAAAUAUAGAGAACAAAAAGAACUAAGAGUUCACUCCUUCACAGUCCUUCAAAUACUUAGUCUUGAUUUUGGUGAGUGUGAUUGCAGCAUCUUCUUCACAGUCCUUCAAAAACUUAGUCUUGAUUUUGGUGAGUGUGAUUGCAGCAUCUUUCAUGUUAAUCCUCUCUCCCGGCAAUGCUGCAGUACAAGCUAAAGCUAAUCUCAUAACGGAUGAUAAGCAAUCCCUCUUGCUCACAAAAUCACCAUCUUCCUCCGCCCCAAGUAUAUCGGCAUCCACAACUUCACCUAUUGCAGCAUCUGGAAAUAAUGAAUCUGCAAUCCAUUGCUUUAAAUUCAUUUCCCCAACAAACAUCUCAUCCGUUGGCUUCCUUUUUGUGAAUGUCUCCAUGAGUACAAUACCAAAACUAUACACAUCCCCUCUUGUCGAAACGCUUCCUUCCAUCCCAAACUCUGCAAAAUUUGUAUGUGAAUUUAGUUAUAUAUGAUAAAAAGAAAAUUAUAACUCCUAAUAAGACCAACAUAUACAAAAUUGAGAAAAUACAUCACCUGGAGCCAUAUAUCCAACUGUGGCUAGGGUCAUGGUUUCUGUCAUCGAAUGUCCACCGCCGAUGAGUCUUGCAAUGCCAAAAUCAGCAACAUGUGCAACCAUAUCAUCAUCUAGUAGUAUAUUGCUUGGUUUCACAUCACAAUGAACAAUAGGUACCGAGUAACCAUGAUGAAGAUAUUCCAGUGCCAAUGCAACAUCUUUCAUUACGUCCAGCCUCUGCAGGAUAUUCAUGGAGCUGUUUGGAGAAUACAACCAGUUUUCGAGGCUUCCAUUAGGCAUCAAUUGAAGUAUCAGGGCUUUGAAAUCAAGUUCAUCGCAGCAACUUAUGAUUUUAAUAAGAUUCCGGUGACGGAUAUUGCUUAGCAUUUCACAUUCCCUAUCAAAACUUUUGAAUGCCCCUUCUACCUGUAAAUUGAAAACCUUGACGGCAAUGUCUAUCCCGUAUGAAAGUGUUCCUCUGUAUACUGAGCCAAAACCCCCCGUGCCUAGUAAGUUACUCUCGUGAAAUCCAUUUGUCGCAUUUACAAGUUCUAGGCGCGAAACUCUUCUCCAAAGAACUUGAUGUAGCGAGGCAGUUUCUCUUACAACUUCGACAUUCCUUUUGUUGCAUAGUAUCAGAAUCAAUGCAGCGGCCGCUAGGAGUAUUACUGGUAUGACCCCUGAGAUGAUAUAUUUAGCUUUCCUCCAAUUUGGCUUAACUUUUGUUCUAUUUUUGCACAGGGGAACAUGGAGUCGGGAAGCACCGCAGAGCGCACCGUUGGAUACAAAUGAAUCGGCAGAGAAGUUUCCGAAAGGCCCGCCGGUUGGAAUUUCUCCUUGGAGUUUGUUGAAAGACAAAUUCAGAUGCUUGAGAUACAAGAGUGCUUCCAAUGACUUUGGGAUCUCUCCAGAUAGAUUAUUUUGGGACAAAUCCAAGAAUUCUAGGCUUAGCAAGGUUUUAAAUGAACUGGGAAUAGGGCCUUGUAAAUAAUUGUUUGCCAAGGACAAAUUAAUCAUAUUUUGAAGACCACCAAUGCUACCGGGAAUGUUUCCGGAGAAGUGGUUAUUUGAUAAAUCUAUAUCCACCACUUCUUUCAACUUUCCGAUGUCUUCUGAGAGUGGUCCAACUAGAGAAUUGGAUGACAAGUUUAGGUGCAAUACAUACUUGAGUUCCCACAAGGAAGAUGGUAUUUUUGAAGUUAACAAAUUGGACUCUAACGAUAGAUUUCUUAGAGCUACUGCCAAACCACCCAAGCAGGAAGGAAUAGAACCAGAGAGCCGAUUAUGACCCAAACCUAACUCGGCUAGGUUGGUUAGUUGACAGAGUUCAUACGGGAUAUGUCCUUGCAGUUUGUUAUCAUACAGAAACAAACCUUGGAGAUUUUUUAGCCUCUGUAUUGAUGUUGGAAUUGCUCCACUCAACUGAUUGAUUUCCAGAUGUAGUUCUAUCAAGCUGCUCAAGUUGGCAAUAUCAACGGGAAUGUUACCCCUGAUGUUGGAAAUGCUUAAAUCAAAAUAUGUGAGUGGCGUAGAGAGAUUCCCACGAAAAGCUGGAAUCGUGGUGUUUAAUGGAUUACCUCCCAAGUCUAAUUUUGUCAAAUUUCUAAGAUUAAACAAGCAAGAGAGAGUAGAAGCAUCAAUCGUCAAAUGAUUCCAGAACAAGAAAAGAAGCUCGAGGUUUUUCAAGGAACAGAGCGUGCUAGGAAGAAACCCGGUAAAUGAGUUUGUGUCCAUGGCUAGGACCCUGAGCUUGGAAGCAUUGGAGAAGUUAGGGAGUGUCCCGGCCACGAGGUUAUUGGAGGAUACAGAAAAGAAUUCUAGGUUUGGAACAUUAAGACCUAUGUUUGCUGGGAGGCCACCUGAGAGCUGAUUUAAAGUAAGCGAUAUUACUCUAAUCAUGGAGUUAUUGAAGAGCUUGGAUGGGAUGACACCAUUGAGAUUAUUAGCACCCAAUCUCAAAACCUCUAACUGCGGAAGAUCACCAAUCUCAUCCGGUAUUGUACCUAUCACAAUGUCAGCACGUUUGCAUUAACUUUGUAACUUCGGUUUAUCUAAAAACUAAAAACGAAAUGAUUGUAAAACGCCCCCAAAUUUAUUACCUGUUAAAUUAUUGAAACGAAGAAAAAUCUCGGUUAAGUAGGUCAAAUUGCCAAGACUUUUGGGUAUGCUCCCACGGAAAUUGUUAGACUCUAAUGCAAUUACACGAAGCUCUUUGCAUUGCCACAGUUUGGAGGGAAUCAGACCGUCAAACUGGUUUUGAUUCAAAGAAAAUCGUUGAAUACUCGAAAGAUGCUCACACAUAUUGUCCGGAAGAAUACCACUCAUGUUGUUUCCGGAUAAAGCCAAAGUAGUCAAAGAAGAUAUGUUAAGGACAGGCACAAAAGCAGAGCCUUUAGGGCAUUGUCCUGCACAAACAACUCCUCCAACUGACCUAAACUGCCUAUCUCGUUCGGAAGUUCUAUAAAAUCAAUCCGUGUAUAUUGUUAAAAUCAUGUAUACAUAUAUAGGAGCAGCUUCUUAUUGGGAAUCCCGUUGUACCAUAGCAAAAGUGGGAUACAUUCUAAGGACCAUGUACUCACCAUAUAGGACCUCUUUUUUGCUCUAGAAUACGAGGGUCUUACACGGUCAAUAUACGAUCCUACAAUAGUCCUCUCAUCUCAUUUUUUGCCGAAGUUGAACAAGAUCCCAGCUAAGAAGGGGCUUGUGUUUAUGUGUGUGUGUGUGUGUUUGUAUAUAUAUGUAACAAAACCUCAGUCAUACAGUAUACCUUCGAACUUGUUGUCGUCAAGGUAUAUGCCCUUCACCAUUGUUAAGUUGCCUAUUUCUCUGGGUAUACUACCUGUUAAAUAUGUGCAUGCAUUCCAACAAAAAAGAAGGAAAAAAAAAAACAAACGAGAUGAUUGUUAUACAUCUUAUAUAUAGAGGUUAAAAUGAAACAAAGAUGUUAAAAUGUAAUGAUGAAGCAAGCAACAUUAAUUUAUAUUCCUAGGUAGUUGGUAAUGGUGGUAUGUACGUACCCGAUAGUUGGUUCCUCAUCAGGUAAAUGUUUUCGAGUGCAGAUAAGUUGAAGAUAGCAGCGGGUAUGAAACCAGAGAAGUCAUUAUCGUACAAUUUGAUGGUUUGAAGUUUAGCAAAGGACCCAAACCACAAAGGAAUGGUUCCCAUAAAGCUGUUGUUUCCAAAGUUAAUCGCCUUCAACCGGCGCAAACGAGACAGUUCUUGCGGUAGGGGACCAUGAAAACUAUUAUUCUGAAGGCCCAACUCAACGAGAAAUGAGAGGUUGCCAAGAUGCGGAGGAAUAACUCCGGCAAGACCCAUGUAAGGGAGAUUUAAGGCCGUGACUCUGUGGUGGCGAGCACCGCAGGUAACGCCAACCCAGUUGCAAAUGUUGGAAUUGGAGGCAGAGGACCAGUUGGCGGUCAAGAUGUUUUGAGGGUCACUAGUGAUGUGAGCCUUGAGAGCAAGAAGCGCAGAUUGAUCUGUGCUGAAAUUGGUAUGAGCUAUUGCUAAUGCUCCUGCAGUUAAGUAAUUAGCCACAAUCAUCAUAUAGAUAUAACACAAGCAUUGUAUCAUCGACAACAUCUUUGAUAGUAGGAAACGACUUCUCUCCUUAAUUGUAGUAGUUUUCGUCUUUCGGUAUAAAUUCGAUCGAAAACUAGAACUCAUUACAUUCACAUAAAUAGGGAAACAAGUUGGUGUUACCAAGACUUGUGAACGACUUUUGUACUGGUUUGAUACUGAGGUGCUUUUAUAAAAAAUGGGUAUAAAAAAAAAAGAUGAGCUCAAAAAGGUGUUUGGUAAACACUUAAAAACAGUUUAUUUUCACAGUUUUGGGUGAAAAAAAAUUAAAAGCGUGAAGCAGCAAAAAUAAGCUUAUUCUCACAGCACAACAUAAACAGUUUUUUUUUUCAAAGCACAGCAAUACCAAACCAGCCCUUAGACUUGCCCGGCUUCUAUGUCAAGGUGAGGAGACUUUAGAUUUUUUAACAUAUCAAACACACACCAUUCAUUUUUUGCUGAUGGCGUAGGUAGGUGAGGAGGAAUGGUGACUGCGAUGUAAGAGAGAUUCAAGGCCACGACUUGAAUGUGGCAUACCAACCCAGUUGCAACUUUCAAGUGAGCAAUCAAUGCUAAGGAUGUUUUGGUCUGUGGUGGUGAUAUUUGGUAAUUCGCUGAUAGGUUAGCUAGGUGAGGAGGUCUAGUCUAAGUCCGACUUUUUUGUCGAAGUGAGGACUUAGAAUAGUGGAACGAAGGCUUGUGAUUUGGUAAUUGGUGCUGCCAGCCGACGAGUUCUGUCCAUUUUGUGGGCAUAGCUGGAGAUGCCCAAAUGUGGAAUUUUAGUCUUCAGUUCACCAUCAAAACAAACAAUACCAUAAAUUUCAAGAUUGAUAUUUAAUGAUGACAUACAUUUUGAUUCAAAUGCAAAUGCAAAUGCGACCAAACACAUGACAGUUACAUUCUUCCGGAUGAAAUGUUUUCGACGACGUUUACAUAUAAUCAAGCUCUAGUUGAACACUCUUCGGAUUCGAAAAUCAUCUAAACUUGGCUAAUUAGUCAAGAAUUACGGUCUUAUGCUUCUAAAUUAUUAAUCACGAUCGCAUGUAUAAAUUCAUUGCAGCAAUAACGAAGAAGGGAAGUAACAACCAGAGAUUGAAAACUAGUUCAGAUACGUACAUUCACUAUCAUGCAGACUUGCCAUUGGAGACAGCUCUGAAUAUGCAAAGGUUUUUUAUAGGAAAAAUUAGUAUCCGGUCCCUAGUUCUUACUGUUCAUUGAUUAAGACCUUAUUAGUUCUCAAAUUUUGAUUCAAGUCCCUAGCAAUAAUGUGAUAAUGAAUUUACAUGUUUAUUAUAUAAUUUUUUAAUAUAAAAAUUAGUAAUUAAUUUAGGGUUUAAUACUCACACCUCUAUUAAACUUCUAAUUAAUUUUCAAUUCAAACAUUUCCAAAAUAAUAAAAAAUUAAAUUAAAUUAAGUUUGUACCUAUUACUUUAUAUAUAUAUAUAUAUAUAUAUAUAUAAAGAUUCUCAAUUUUUUAAUCUUAAAUGUACCCAUUCAUAUAAUUUUUCAAUUUUUUUAAUCUUAAAUGUACCCAUUCUCAAAUACAUCAAUUUGUUAUAUGUAAAAUGUACCCUUUUUUUUAAUAUAAAAUCCAUUCAAAUUUUUUAAUCCAUGUUUAAACUUAUAUGGGUACAUUCUUUUUCGUUGAUUUGAGAAUGUAUCCAUGUUUUGAUACAAUAACUUUUUUUGUUAAUUUUGGUUAAUGUACCCAUACAUAUAUGUACACACACAAUAUAAUAGAGGGUAUAAUUUAUAUUUUAUUAUUUUUAAUCCCAUAAAUUAUGGGUUUUAUUUAAAAUCUCAUUAAUAUAAACAAUUACAAAUUUCAAUUUUUAAUUUUUAAUUUAAAACAUAUAGUAACUUACAUUAUUAUAUUAAUGUCAGGACCUCAAUCAAAAACUAAAAACUAACAAGGUUUCAAUUAAAAAAUAUUGAUAGCUAGGGAACGCAUCCAAAGUGUCCAUUUUUUAUAUGACUUCAACAAGAGAGGACAUACCAUGCUUAGAGAUGAAGCAGGCCUGCACCUGCAAGCCACGGUGGUAAUCGAAUUCCAGUGAAAGGGAACAAAACUCCAGCCGCCACCGGCAUGCUGAGGAUAUUGUAGCCCAGGGCCCAGACAUAAUUCAAUCGAAUUUGAGACAUGGUCUUUCUAGAGAGAUCAAUGGCUGUAACUACAUCUUCCAAGUUGCUCUUCCUCAGAACUAUAAGCAGCUUCUAUAACUACGUCGGUGCCCGCACCAAUUGCCAUACCAACAUGUCCUGCAACCAUUGCCGGAGAGUCAUUAAUUCAAUCUCCCAUCAUUGCCACCACCAUUCCUUUCAUCUGCAUCCAAAUCCACUUUAACAAGUCAGAAAACACUAUGUAAGAUAGAUAACUCACAUAUCAAGUCAGAAACAAACUUAAUAUAGAAAAAUGAGUUUGAAGAUUGUUUGCAAGGUUUAGCAAGGUUUUAAAUGAAAUAGGAAUAGGGCCUUCUAAAUGAUUGUUUGCCAAGGAGAAAUCAAUCAUAUUCUGAAGACCCCCAAUGCCACCGGGAAUGCUUCCGGAGAAAUGGUUAUUUGAUAAAUCCAUAUCCACCACAUCCUUCAACUUUCCGAUGUCUUCUGAGAGUGGUCCAACCAGAGAAUUGGAUGACAAGUUUAGGUGCAAUAUAUACUUGAGUUCCCACAAGGAAGAUGGUAUUUUAGAAGUUAACAAAUUGGACCCUAACGGUAGAAAUCUUAGAGCUACUGCCGAAGUACCCAAGCAGGAAGGAAUAGAACCAGAGAGCCGAUUACCAUCCAAACGUAACUCGGCUAGGUUGUUUAGUUGACAGAGUUCAUACGGGAUAUGUCCUCCCAGUUCGUUAUCAUACAAAUACAAACCUUGGAGAUUUUUUAGCCUUUGUAUUGAAGUUGGAAUUGCUCCACUCAACUGAUUGUUUCCCAGGCUUAAUGAUAUCAAGCUGCUCAAGUUGCCAAUAUCAACUGGAAUGUUACCCCUGAUGUUCGAAUUUCUUAAAUUAACAUAUAGGAGUGACGUAGAGAGAUUCCCACGAGAAGCUGGAAUCAUGGUGUUUAGUGGAUUUCCUGCCAAGUAUAAUCUUGUCAAAUUUCUAAGAUUAAACAAGCAAGAGAGAGUGCUUGCUGCUUAUGGAGUAGAAGCAUGAAUUGUCAAAUUAUUCGAGUGCAGGUUUUUCAGGGAACAUAGCGUGGUAGGAAGAAUCCCGGUAAAUGAGUUUGUGUUCAUGUCUAGCUUCCAGAGCUUGGAAGCAUUGGAGAGGUUAGGGAGUAUUCCAGCCACGAGGUUACUUCUGGCUACAUAAAGGAUUUCUAGGUUUGGACCGUUAAGAGUCUUAACUUAAGACCGCUGUUUGCUGGGAGGCUACUUGAGAGCUGAUUGAAAGAACGCCCUAUUUCUCUUAUCAUGCAGAGAUUGAAGAGUUUGGAUGGGAUGACGCCACUGAGAUUAUUAAUAACAAGUCCCAAAAUCUCUAACUACGGAAGAUUACCAAUAUCAUCCGGUAUUGUAUCUGUUAUAAUUUCAGCACAUUUGCAUUAAAUUUUUAACUUCAAUUUAACUAAAAACUAAAAGCGAAAUGAUUAUCAAACAAUCCUAAAUUUACUACCUAUUAAAUUAUUGUCAUUAAGAUAAAUCUUGGUUAAGUAGGUCAAAUUGCCAAGACUUUUGGGUAUGCUUCCAAGGAAAUUGUUAGACCCUAAUAAGAUUUCACAAAGCUCUUUGCAUUGCCACAGUUUGGAGGGAAUAAGACCGUCAAACUGGUUUCGACCCAAAUUAAAUCGUCGAAUACUCAGAAGAUGCUCACAUAUAUUUUUCGGAAGACUGCCACUAAUAUUGUUUCCAUAUGGAGCCAAAGUAGUCAAAGAAGAUAUGUUGAGGACAGGCACAAUAGCAGAGCCUUUUAGGGCAUUGGACUGCGCAUACAACUCCUCCAGCUGAUCUAAACUACCCAUCUCGUUUGGAAAUUCUAUAAAUCAAUCAGUAUAUAUUGUUAAAAUCAUGUAAACAUAUAUAGGAGUUGCUUCUUAUUAGGAAUCCUGUUCUACCGUAGCAAAAGUGGGAUAAUAUUAUAAGGACCAUGUACAACUAUAUAGGUUCUCUUUUUGCUCCAGCAUACGAGGGUCUUACAUAGUAAAUAUACGAUCCCUAUGAUAGUCCUCUUAUUGUAUUUUUGCUAAAGUGGAACGAGAUUCCUGCUAAGAAGGGGCUCGUAUCUAAACUACUUACUACCUCAAUCAAAACUACAUGAAAUUACAAUUUUAACACCCAAACCAAAACUGCACAAAAAUAAAAAAAACUAUGGGUAAUUUAGUAAGGGCUGUGCUAUCCACACACCCCAUUUUACUUCUCACACACCCCUUGAUAAUUUAUGUAUGUUGAUAUUCUUCAAUUGAUUCGAUCCGACGGCCGAAAAUUAAAAAGGUUUGUGAGAAGUAAAAUGGGAUGUGUGCAUAUCACACCCCUUUAGUAAUUACAUGAACAUAACUUUUGUUGUUAUUUAGGGCAACCUCACAGCUAGGUCACCAUAGCAUGCCAUAUUUAAAAAUUAAAAAUAAAAUAAAAUAGUAAAUAAAAAACAUGCCUACUUUAGAAGAAACUGCUCAUCAUUUUCCCAAUUUUUAUAAGGGGUGUGCUAUCCACACAUUUUUUUACUUCUUACACAUUCCUUGUUAAUUUAUGUCCGUUGAUCUUCUUCAUUUUAUCCGAUACUACGGCUGAAGAUUAGAAGGGUGUGUGAAAAGUAAAAAGGGUGUGUGGAUAUCACACCCCUUUUUUUAUAAUUGAUUUAUUGUUUUAGAAUUUUAAAAACUAAUCACACUACUUAGUAAAAAAAACAAAAUGAAAUGAAAUUAUACAAAACCUAAGUCAUACAGUAUACCUUCGAACUUCUUGUCGUCAAGGUUUAUGCAAUUCACCAUUGUUAAGUUGCCUAUUUCUCUGGGUAUGCUACCUGUUAAAUAUGUGCAUGGAUUCCAACAAAAAAGAAGGCAAAAAAAACGAAGGAGAUGAUUGUUAUACAUCUUAUAUAUAGAUGUUAAAAUGUAAUCAUGAAGCAAGCAACAUUAAUUUAUAUUCCUAGCUGUUGGUAAUGGUGGUACGUACGUACCUGAUAGUUGGUUCGUGCUCAAACUAAUCAUUUCGAGUGCAGAUAAGUUGAAGAUAGCAGCGGGUAUGAAACCAGAGAAGCCAUUACCGUACAAUUUGAUGGUUUGAAGUUUAGGAAAGGACCCAAAUCACGAAGGAAUGGUUCCCAUAAAGCUGUUGUUUCCAAAGUUAAUUGCCUUCAACCGGCGCAAACGAGACAGUUCUUGCGGUAGGGAACCAUGAAAGCUAUUAUUCUUAAGGCCUAACUCAACGAGAAAUGAGUGGUUGCCUAGAUGCGGAGGAAUAACUCCGGCAAGACCCAUGUGCGAGAGAUUUAAGGCCGUUACUCUGUGGUGGCGAGCACCGCAGCUAACGCCAACCCAGUUGCAAAUGUCGGAAUUGAAGGCAAACGACCAGUUGGCGGUCAAGAUGUUUUGAGGGUCACUAGUGAUGUGAGCCUUGAGAGCAAGAAGCACAGACUGAUCUGUGCUGAAAUUGGUAUGAGAUAUUGCUAAUGCACCUGCAGUUAAGUAAUUAGCCAUAAUCAUCAUAUAGAUAUAACAUAAACAGUGUAUCAUCGACAACAUUUUUGAUGGUAGGAACCGACUUCUCUCCUUAAUUGUAGUAGUUUUCGUCUUUCGGUUUAAAUUCGAUCGAAAACUAGAGCUCAUUACAUUCACAUAAAUAGGGAAACGAGUUGGUGUUACCAAGACUUGUGAACGACAUAGACUUGCCCGGCGUCUAUGUCAAGGUGAGGAGACUUAGACUAGUCGAACGAAGACGAGUGGCAAGGAACACCUACCAUUCAUUUUUUGGAUUUUUUAACAUAUCAAACACACACCAUUCAUUUUUUACUGAUAGCUUGAAGGUGGCGUACGCCGUAAGCAACACCUACCAAUUGCAACUUGGAAGUGAGCAACGAGUGGUAAGGAUGUUUUGGUCUGUGGUGGUGAUAUUUGGUAAUUGGUGCUGCUAGCCGACGAGUUCUGUCCAUUUUGUGGUCACGGCUGGAGAUGCCCAAAUGUGGAAUUUUAGUCUUCAGUUCACCAUCAAAACAAACAACACCAUAAAUUUCAAGAUUGAUAUUUAAUGAUGACAUACAUUUUGAUUCAAAUGCAAAUGCAAAUGCGACCAAACACAUAACAGUUACAUUCUUCCGGAUGAAAUAUCUUUGCCGACAUUUACAUAUAAUCAAGCUCUAGUUGAACACUCUUCGGAUUCGAAAAUCAUCUAAACUUGGCUAAUCAGUUUUUUCUGAACAGAACAAACCAAAGAUGAUACGCAAACGGUCCAAGAAUUACGGUCUUAUGCUUCUAAAUUAUUAAUCAUGAUCGCAUGCAGACUUGCUAUUGGAGACGCUCUGAAUAUGCAAAGGCUUCUUAUAUGACUGCAACAAGAGAGAACAUACCACGCUUAGAGAUGAAGCAGGCAUGCACCUGCAAGCCAUGGUGGUAAUCGAAUUCCAGUGAAAGGGAACAAAACUCCAGCCGCCACCGGCAUGCUGAGGAUAUUGUAGCCCAGGGCGACAUAAUUCAAUCGAAUUCGAGACAUGGUCUUUCUAGAGAGAUCAAUGGCUGUAACUACAUCUUCCAAGUUGCUCUUCCUCAGAACUAUAAGCAGCUUAUAUAGCUAUGUCGGUGCCAGCACCAAUUGCCAUGCCAACAUCUCCUGCAACCAUAGCCGGAGGGUCAUUAAUUCCAUCUCCCAUCAUUGCCACCGCCAUUCCUUUCAUCUGCAUCCAAAUCGACUUUAACAAGUCAGAAAACACUAUGUUAGAUAACUCACAUAUCAAGUCAGAUACAAACUUAAUAUAGAAAAAUGUGUUUGAAGAUUUCUAUAAGACAUUAUUUUACCCUAGAUAAGUCAUUUGAAAUAUAAUUUAGUAAUCCUCAAUCUGCGUUCAAAACCAGAACAAAAUUACUUGUGGAGCUGGGUAAUUGUAAUCCACUCACACCACCCCUGUAACUAUUAUAUAAUCGUAACUGUAAUUCUUUGAUUCUAUCAGCUUUUCAUAGUGGAUCCGUCUCAGCACACCUUAUCAAUGCCAACCUCCAUCGCACUGGCUGCCGCUGUAGCCCAGUUAUCACCAGUAACCAUGAUGCUUGUAAUGUUUAUCGAGUGAAGAUAAGAGAUGACUCGUGCAGCCUCUGGCUUCACUGGGUCAGUUACAGCAAAAGACCCAGCAAUCUUUCCAUCAAUGGACACCAACACACACCUUCGAGCCAGAUUAUCAUGUUCUGAAACAUACUUGUCAACCUCAGGACCAACCUGGACAUUAUUUUCCCGCAUGAGCCUCAGCAAUCACCAUUUACCUACAUAUUUCUCAAAUAGAGGCAUGUUAGCAUGAUUGACAAAAUAAUAACAAUAAGUUGUCUCAUCUGUAACUUUACAAACUUCAAACUUUUCAUGAACAAAUUUGAAACAUAAGCACCAACCUCUGUGACAAUAGACACAGCACAGAACUCCUCCAUUGAGUAAUUGGAGAAGAGCACAGCAUUGACUACUACGGGUUUCCCAACUGUCUCUCUGGUUGAGGCUGCAUUCAUUUUGACACAUGGGAAGGGCUUACUCUCCUAGUGGCUCGGCUUGGUCUCGCUCCCUUCCCGCACUAUUCCUCCCCACUAAAAAGAUUUGAUAAUCUCAAUAACGUUCAGAAAGGUUAUUGAGAUAAAUCGAUGAAAUCUUUCAAGCCAGCAUGGGGCAAAAGCUAUCAAAACGGGUGAUUGGGGAAGGAGAGAUAGGUCCAUUCACGAACACUAUUGGUCCCUGUUUCAUAAAAAAACAACCGUUUUCACUGGCAGGGAUCAAACACGUCCGUAAACAUCCAGACACCAACAAGGUGUCAAAUACUAAGAAACGUAUCAACCUUCAUGAAUUAGGUACCGUCUGUUCAGCUUUUAAUUUUGGAAAGAACAAAAACCCCAAAAAGGACGAAACAAUUAUUAGCCUUGUUAUAAAAAAGGGAGUUGGGGUAAAGAGAACUCUCCUUCAAUGAGAGCUGUCAUCUACAAGAAAUGGGGAUAUAAAACUUGGCGAGUACGGCUUGGUGACAUGGACAAGGUGCAUACAGCCAUCAAUCGUCCAGAACCAAAGGGUCAUAUGAGACAGAUUCCAACUAUGAAAUAAUAGUUGCAUGUUCAAUCCCAAUAUAUGCAGGAAGAACAUCCUCCAUACCCAAUGACAUAGAUUGCAUUUAGUUUUAUGUCACGAGCCUAAACGUUGAUCGAACCAAGGCAGAGCGUUUAACUGGUCAGGAAUGAAGUCCAUAACUUGUUCUCAUACGGAACACUAACAUAAUGUAGGGUGGUAGUAUAGGGGAUAGUAUGAAAUGACCAGAACAAUAUGAGGAGAGCAACUUCAUAAUGGAGGAAUGACGAGAAAAAAAAAACUACACUUGCACCCUCAAGACAUAUAGAGAAUGUAUCUAAUCAGAAAUUGGUUUUUCCUAAACCACAACAAACAGGUUUUCGACGUCCUCAAAGGAAAUGUAGGAACAAGUAUAAUGAAGCAACUAAACACACCAGCAAAAACAACAUGAAAAUAAAAUGCAUGAAAACCAGAUUCUAAAUUAAAAAAGAAAUUUGUUUCCAAGGAUAAGGUGGUCUUACCUUAUAAGCCUUUUCAAGUACACUAGCAAAAAUGCCCGCACUCCGCUGCGGGGACUUCUAGAAGUAUGAUCUUGUACCAUUUGAUUUCUUUUGCCAUUCCUAGUUCUUUUUGGCAUCAUGUGCAAAACCAAAUUGAUAGAUAAAAAAAGGUCGUACCCAGUGCACAAGGCUCCCGCUUUACGCAGGGUCUGGGAGAGGUGAAUGUCGGCUAGCCUUACCCCCAUUUAUGGAGAGGGCUGCUCCCAAGUCUCGAACCCGAGACCUACCGCUCAUGGGCGAAGGCACUUGCCAUCACACCAAGUGCGACCUCUUUAUUAUAAUUAAGUAAAAAAAUGAUAGGUAGGAAGAAAAAAAUGAAAACACCUGCAUAAAUUCAAUUUUCCAUCACCCCUAUAUUAUAAUUAAAUAAAGCAAAACAUAAUAAUCAUCUCACAAUUACAGAAGCAAGGACUUUCAAAUGCCCCAAUUAGUUAACAGCCACUAUGCAUAAUUCUGAAAAAAUGAGUAUAAAAUUAACCUCUUUUGAAAAACGAAGGAAGAAAGAUGAAACCUUAAGCCAAGGAAUAUAACUAUGUUGAACUCAAUUAUUUGACAUUAAUUACACAAACCCAAUUCCAUAUAUAUAGCCAGACAGAAGCUUUAUCCUAGAGAGAAACCAUGCCCAAAUGAUUAUAAUUCAGAGCAUAAAAGGGAAGUGAGUUCCUUGGUUCCCACAUUGUAGAGACUAAAUCUCAAAACUUUGCCAAGCAUUACAGGAAACCAUGGAAAGAAUAAAAAUGACCACAAAGAUUGCAAAACAAUUAACCACAGGUGGUGUUUAUAUGCCCACUGAGAGAAAAGAGCUUGUGCAAGUGAAAAAACGUAUUUAUAUAAAACAGGCAUGCACCAUCUGAAAGAGCCUCUUGUAUCCAUUCCAAUUAUACUUAUGUCUACCAUAUCCCUCUACAAUUCCCCACCACCAAUCAACCAUAACUGAUUUCAAUACCCUUAGCUGCUUUAGUAGACCAUCUAGUGACACCAACUGCCACCAAAAUAAAAGACACGAUCAAGACCAUACAAAUUACAGACUAAGCUUAAAAACAACGGUUAUCUAUUAAGCAAAACUUGGAACUCCUUGACAUGGCAACCUCUUAAUCCAGGAUGUAGAGUAGAAAAGCAAAAUUAUUGACAAACCGAAAAAUAACAAUUUAACUUGCAUAGUAAACGAAUAUUAGUAAAGUUACAUAACUCAAUGGAUUACAUAAAUCUGUAAAAAAGCGAAACAUCAGUGUUUGGGAAGUUACCUUAUUUGAAAUGUCAGGAGCAUCUGGUGUACAUACAGGGUAGACAGUCCUUGCAAAAUUCAGGGCUUCAAAAUAAAAUAAAAUAAUAAAUUCAAAAGAAAUCAAAACUAUUAAUCCUAACAACUGUUUAGUAAAGGAUAAAACAAUCUUUCCAUCAAGCAAAUUUGAGAAACAAGUAAUGAAUGGAAUAACCCAAUUUCUAUCGCCAAUCACCCUUGCUGAGUGAUGAUUCACAUACUUCCUCAUAUUUGUUUAUGGGUUCCUGUCCAACAAAAUUUCGACUUAGUACCCAAAAACUGUAUCAGCUCACAAACACACAGAGGUUUAUCAAAUUCAAAGCAAAACCCACAUAUAUUCUCAAGAUUCUAGAGUUAAAAGAGGAGCAAGGAGGUUCGGUUAAGGAACCCAAAACGCUAUUUUAAUGAGCAAAUGAAUAUCUAAACUGGGGUUAACAAGUUUCAGCAAUAAAAAACAUGUCUUUCGAACGAAGUUGCAUAAAUUACAGAACUUUGGGAUUAAGGAGGAACAAAAAGCCCAAAUUCCAAUCAAGAAAAAAAAAAUGUAUGUAAAUUUAAGCUUUACCUGUAGAUUGGCAGCAGCAAAACAUACUGGAUCCAACGGGAGCCACGUGUGAGAACUGGAUGCCCAGCCUUUGACACGUUAUUGAGUGAGUUUAGGGAUCUGGGUUUUGUGUUUGCCGUUGAAUUUUGGAAUGAUCUGGAGAAAUUUGGGUUUUAGGGUUCUAAGGAUUUGAGUGAACUGAAAUUGAUUUGGAUGAGCAACUUUUAGUUUCGAUUCGCGGUGGAGCAAGGAUGAAGAGGUGGAGGAGGAAGGAAUGAAAGACUUAACUUCUAAAGUUUCAAGUGCUCAAGGAAGAAAAUAUCGGUAAUAUCGGAAAUAUCGGUAGUCUGAAAACAUGGAAAUAUCGAUGGAAAUAUCGGGAUAAUAUCGAUAUCGAUAAAAAUUACAUGGAAACCACGGAAAUUGUAAGAAAAACUUGGAAAUUUUUAUUGAAACUUUGCAGGAUGUUUAUUUAGUCAAUUAUCUAUUUGUUUAUCACAAAAAAUUGGAAGGAAAGGCAUUACAUGAUGGAUUUAACAUUAUCAAGUUGAUUAUAUAACGAGCUGACAAACAUUGUGAGUGUAGAAAAUAUGUAGAAAUUAAUGAAAGAAGUCUAAACACACCAUAAUCAUUUAUAUAUAAUGAAUUAGUACAAUAUUUUACACUUUAUACAUUGCAUGGUAAGAUACAUGAGUGACUUAGUACCACAUAGAGUUCCUAUGAGGUUCAAAAUUUUCACUAUCUUCAUCAUCUCUAUGUGUAGAGUGAGUGUAUUUUAAAGAGUAGUUAGCAACCAUGGCAAUGGUUUUCAAGAACCAAAACCCAAAAGUCAAUAGGAAACCGAAUACUUCGGUAUUUUUCGGGAUUACCAAACAAAUGGGAUUUGGAAACCAAUCCCAUAUCGAAAAUUUCGGUAUUUUUCGGGAUGGGAUUCCCGAACUUCAGGAUGGUUUUGGUUUGGGAUUUUUCGGUUUGGGUUUGGGACUUUUUCAAUUUGGUUUGGGAUUUUCCGGAAUUUUUUCCAGCCCUACCAUGUAAGUGACCAAAUAAAAAAUAGAAAAAUUAAAAACCACAUGCCAUUGACUAAGUAAUUAAUUGAUACAAUUUAAAAUAUAAUACCACAAAAAAUUUGGAAUAUGUGCAAAUUUGUUUCUUGUAAAAAGAAUUCAAAACAAAACCAUAUAUAUAAAUAUUGUAGCAUAUUAUCACAACAUCAUAAGUGGUAUAGUGGUUAAGGCGUUAAGGAGGUAAACUCGAGGAGUUCGAACCCUUCUAUGCUCAAAAUUGAGACUUUUCCAAAUUUUCAGGAAUUUUUUGACUAAUAUCGCGAUAUUUUGACGAAAACUCAUUGGAUACUCAUUAAAAUAUCGGUAACUCAAAAAAACGAAAAUAUCGGCGAAAUAUCGUCGAUAUUUUGGAUAUUUUCUUCCAUGCAAGUGCUCAACAAAUUUCGAUCAAUGUAUGUUUCAAUACUUCAAAAAAAGGGACAUGCAUCAAAGACUUUUAGGUGGAAAAAAAUAUGCAUUGGCUGAUGGAGAUAAUUAGGAUUUAAAAUGUUAAAAAUUUUCUUUUUGGCUCACUAAUUAGAUGCAAAAGUGAGACUGUGUGAACAAUUUUACACCCAGAAACAUGAACUACACAGAAUCACAACUGAUCGAACAAUGAGAAAGUAUAUAAGACAAUACACUAUCAAUAGGCUAAAACACUCUUUUAAUUGAUCUAACAAUAGGCUAAAACACUCUUUUAAUUGAUCUAACAAUAGGCUAAUAGGAUUAACUAAACCAUUAGAGACUGCAACAAUGAGAAAGUCUGAAGAUUAAAGUUCUAGUUGAAUAUCUUUGAACCCCUAGGUGUUGGAAACACUUUCAGUAAAUUUGUUCAGGAAAAUAUAGAAACUCAUGAUGCAAUUCCAUCGUCUGGGAUAGCACAUAUUUACCUGGAAUCCAACAUUAAGCUAACAUUUUUCAUAAGUUUAUUCUUUUUGUUAACUACACUGGAAUUUAUAAAACAAUUUUAGAAAAACUCGAGUCUAGAUAAUGAACUUUUGUUCCAGUUUAAAAAAUUUUGACUUGUGUUCUAAGCAACAUAAUGUAUUCACAUUUCAAUUGUGAAAGGCAGCAAUAAUCCCCGACUGAAGAUAUUAAAAAUCAGAACUUCUUCUCCAAGUUUUCAUUUAGUUUAUUUCACUUGUCCAUCGGAAUUUUAUGCAAAGAAGAUUAAAUAAAGACAAUAGCAUGCCAAAGAUUAAAACCCCUCAUUUCAAACUCUGCUAAUGCACAACUCUGUUUGGUUUUCUUCCCAGAGACCAGACUGAGUGAGGAGUCAAGUUCUCCAAUGCACCAACAAUCUCCCGUUCGAGCAGCCAUCACCACCUCACUUGCCACUCCGGCGAGGCACCACCUUGCCACCACCCUCAUGUCUCACUCCCUUUCUACCACUCUCCUUAUUUCCCUCACCUCUUUCUCUCGAUACUGUGCUCGCUGCACAGAAACAGCAAGGCAACCACCGUCGCCUUUUUUCACAGCGAACUACACCGUAACGAAACCAUCACCAUUAAUCUCGCUACCUAGGCGAGUUUUACCACCCUCUGCAAACUGCCUUCAUGCCUUCUAAUUUCAAUUCUUGCAUUUCUUGUAUGGUAUCCAUGUCUUGCACAUUCAAAUACUUAUAUACCGACUGAGAAUAACAAUAUAAAUCCCACACCCACCUCUUUUUCCCCACUUGAAAAAUCACCUAAAAACAACAUUAACCACCAUAGUUUAAGAAUCCAAACAUGGCUCCAAAUUUCAAUCUAAUUAAUUAAAUUACAGAGGAUUCUACCUACCUCAUGAAAACAAAUAUGUUCAGUUAAAGAAAUUCCCUAAUCAUUGCAGUGCAUCUUAAACUACUUCUUAACUAUGUCAGCCAUACCAAUCUAAUAAAAAAUCCAUGUUUCAAUCGAUUCUUAUUAAUUCCAACUCCAAGUAUUUCAGCAUCUAGAUUAUAGAAAAAUCAUAACAAAACAAAACUCAAUCUUGGUGCUAAAGCACACUUCGUUAACCUCACCUUCAUCAAGUCCAUGAUUCCUGCCAUGAGAUCUUUCUCUUAAUCCAGACUUGGCUUCAGAUGCAAGAUCAAAAUAACGAAGCAUUCAGUUCCAUUUCUACGCACAGCAAAUUAAAAAUUGAAAUAUGUUAUAAUUUACUCGGAAUCUUCAUAAGUAUCAUGAAAGCAUAUAAACAGAUACAUUUGAAAACUGAUAAAGCUACCUAAUUAAGUUGAAAAGUCGCUAAUUAAGAUCAAGUGCCAGUGCAUCCAGUGAGCCUUCCAAGGAAAGAUGGCCCCAUGGACUUAGACCUUGAAAACUAAGGCUUGUUUUGCCUUGUAAUUGUAUGAUCAGUAGCAUUCUUAUGGAUUGUAAUUGUAUGAUCAGUAGUAUCUGAAAGAUAUGAUUUCUGAAACUCAACUCAAUGAUUUGAGUGAGCCAAUUAGUAUUGAUAUAUAUAGCAUUACAAAGUAGACAUGUAGUAGAAUAUAGAAAGUUCAAUUACAAGCAGUAUCGGAAACAAAUUACUAAUCAAACUAGAACUCGGCUGCUGCUCAAGUAUCUGUAUAGGAAUGAACAUCUUGAGCGGAGAAUGAUGGAACAUCCUUGUUCUUGUGGGAGACUGGUUUAUCACUCCCCCGCAAACUGACAGGGAGGCCACGAACUGGUAGUUUGGAGAGCAUAAAAGUAAAGCGGGCAGCAGAGAGACCUUUAGUAAGAAGAUCAGCCAGCUGGUCAACAGAGGAGACAUAACCAAUAGUGAGUUCAUUGCGAGUGACCUUUUCCCGAACAUAAUGAUAGUCCACCUCCACAUGUCGCAUGCGUUGUUGAUAGACGGGAUUAGAGGCUACAGAAAUGGCACUGAUGUUGUCGCACCAGAUGCGGGGAGGAGCAAGCGGGAGAUGAAGCUCUCGAAAUAAGGUGCGAUACCAAGAGAGCGCCGUAGCAGUGAACGCAAGCUGGUGGUAUUCAGCUUCGGUGCUGGAGCGAGAGACACCUCGUUGUUUCUUGGAGCUCCAGGAAAUAAGGUUAUCACCAAGGAAAAUACAAUAGCCACCAGUAGAACGACGGUCGUCAGGAUCGCCGGCAUAGUCCGCAUCAACAUAGGCAGUGAGGUGAAGGGGACUCGGUUUGUAAACAAUGCCAUGAUUCGGAGUCGCUUUAAGGUAACGGAGGAUGCGUUUAACAGCAACCUAAUGGAUUGUGGUUGGCCGAUGCAUGAACUGGCAAACCUGAUUUACAGCAAAGGCGAUAUCAGGACGAGUGAAAAGAAGAUAUUGCAAGGCCUCUACAACACUUCGGAAUUCUGUAAGAUCAGACAAUAGUUCUCCAUCUGAUAAGAUGAGGCGUCGACCAGGAAUAGUGGGGGCCGAAAUAGGCUUGCAGUCCAGCAUAUUAGUACGUUUAAGAAGAUCAGUGAUAUAUUUUGCUUGAGUAAGAUGAAGGCCGGCAGCAGUAUGAUGAACUUCCAUUCCUAAUAAGUAAUGAAGGGGGCCAAGAUCCUUCAUGGAAAAAAGAACGCCCAGCUGUUGAAUUAAGCGAGCAAUAUGAUCCGUGCUAUUACCAGUAAUAAGGAUGUCAUCCACGUAUAUUAACAAGUAAAGGAUGACAGAGCCAUCAAAGAAAGUAAACAAUGAAGAGUCGACAUGAGAAGAAACAAACCCCAAAUGUUCCAAGUGUUGGGAAAAGCAUUGGAACCAUGCACGAGGAGCUUGUUUAAGGCCAUAUAGAGACCGUUGUAAUUUGCACACAUGAAUGGGACGUUGAGAAUCAACAAAUCCUGGAGGUUGGCGCAUAUAGACAUCUUCAUUUAGAGAACCAUGAAGGAAAGCGUUUUGGAUAUCGAGUUGCUGAAACGGCCAAUUGUAGUGAAUAACAAUGGAGAGAAUCAGCCGAAUGGUGGCAUGAUUGACGACGGGGCUGAACGUCUCACCAUAGUCCAAACCUUCUUGUUGAUGAAACCCAUUGACGACUAACCGUGCUUUGUAUCGUUCGAUGGAACCAUCAGAGCGCCGCUUGAUUUUGUAGACCCAUUUGUUGGGGAGAACGUUCAUAGUGUGGUGGAAUGGGACUAAGGUCCAGGUACCAUUGCGUUGUAAUGCAGUAAACUCGUCAGCCAUGGCUUUGCGCCAUUCAGUGUGUUUGUGUGCCUGACUAAAACAGGUAGGCUCAACCAAAUCAUCAGAAAAAGUAGUAACAAAAACAUAUUUGGGAUUAGGUUUUCGAACACCAACUUUGCUGCGAGUAACCAUGGAGUGAGACCGAUCACUUACCUCGGGAGUAGAUGAAACGGAUGCAGCGGGGGCAACAGGUGGUAGGUUUGCUCCAGGGGCUGACGGAUGGGUAGGAGUUAUGGGGAAAGCAGGUUGGGGGGAAGAAGCUGUGGGGGAUAAAGGAGAGGCAGAUGUGUCCGGCGGGAAACGGGUAGGGCGAGAGGGCCUACGAGUAUAAACUUGAAGGGGGCGUUGGGUAGGGUGUGAUGGUAGGGUUGAGGGAAUGGAAGAGGAAGGCUGCGGGAUGGAGGGUGUGGGGGCACCAUGAGAUGGUGAUGGUCCGAUGGUGAGUACUGGAUCCACAGACGAGGAAAGCAAUGAAGGCGAUGGAACAAUGGACUCUUUAUAUGGAAAGGUGUGCUCAUCAAACACGACAUGGCGAGACAGAAAUACACGACCUGUGGAGGGAUCUAAGCAGCGAUAACCAAGAUGGUUUAGAGAAUAACCCAAGAAAACACAGCGUUUGGAACGAAAUUGCAGUUUGUUAGUAUUAUAUGGACGUAAAUACGGAAAACAGGCACACCCAAAAACUUUAAAAAACUUAUAUUGAGGAGGUUUGUGAAACAGUUUUUCAAACGGGGAGAUAUUGUGUAAAAGGCGAGUGGGUAAACGGUUAAUAAUGUAAUUGGAAGUAUGAAAGGAUUCGGUCCAAAAGGGAGUAGACAGACCGGAUUGAGCUAAAAGAGUAAGGCCAGUUUGAACGAUGUGGCGGUGUUUACGUUCCGCCACACCAUUUUGUUCCGGAUGAUGAGGGUAGGUAAGACGAUGUAAGAUGCCAUGGUGAUUUAAGAAUGUUCGAAAACUAUGAUUAACAAAUUCACCUCCACCAUCCGUUUGGAAAGCUUUAAUCUUAACACUGAACAUGUUUUCAACGAGGUUUUUAAAAGUGACGAAAGUAGAGAAAACAUCAGAUUUUAAUCGGAGUGGAUACAACCAAGUAUAACGAGAAUAAUCGUCCACAAAAAUCACAUAAUACUUAUAACCAGAAAUGGAGAGAGAGGGAGACAUCCAAACAUCACAGUGAAUUAAUUCUAAAGGUGAAGCAGCCAUGGAGGAAGAUAAAGAAAAUGGCAAUUUAUGACUUUUACCUAAAGGACAAAAUUGACAAAACUUACUAGAAAUUGAGCCUUUAAUUGGCAAUUUAUUUGCAGACACUAAAUGUUGUAAAAUGGAAAACGAAACAUGACCUAACCUAGAAUGCCACAAGGCAUCCGAGACACGUUCACCAACACAAGCAAAAACACCAGAAGGUUGAUGAGAGGAAUGGGAAGGAUAGAGUCCAUUGUUACUAGGGCCUUGGAAAAGGAUCUUCCCCGUCCGCGAAUCCUGCACACGAUAAAAACGAGGGUGGAUAGUAAAGAAACAGUCAUUAUCAGCAGCAAAACGAUUUAAAGAUAUGAUAUUAGUGGAAGCAUGAGGGCAGUAGAGAGUAUUCAGUAAUAAAAAAAAAGCGAGUUUAGUGUGAAGAAACGAAUCACCAAUUUUGGAGAUGUGCAAACCUGAACCACCAUGAAUAACACCAAUCUGAUCAGUUCCAUGAUACUCACGAGGAUUAGAAAGCUGACCCACAUCAUUGGUUAUGUGGGAAUUGGCGCCAGAGUCAAAGAGCCAUGGUUGAGCAGGCGAGGCAGAAGGAGCAUGAGGGACACCACGGGACUGAGGUGCAGCCGCAUAAGCCUGAAGAUGAGACGAAGGAACCCUGCCUUCAUAGGACAUGUUGAGACGAUUGUAACAAUCAAUAGCGGAGUGACCAUAACGCUGACAAAUCUGGCACUGAAUACGACCAGAUGGGGAGAACGCAGGGGCAGGAGAGAAGCCACCUGAAGCAGGAGCAGGGCUGAGGAUGCCAUUGGAGGAAGCAGGCUGUCCACGGGAGGAAGCGGCUGGCGAAGAAGAAUGGGAAAAAUCACCAUGAUAGUUGCGAGAGGAACCAGAACCACGAGCGUAGCCGCCACCACAACCACCCCGAAACGCGCCGCCACGGCCGUGAGACGUACCACGGCCACCACGCACAGCAGCAAACGCAGAAGUACCGACGUCAGAGGGAAGAAAGAAAGCAGUGUGACGUUGUUCGGCGCUAAGAAGUAAAGAUUCCAAGGCAGUGUAAGUGAUGGGAGUAUCACGGGCUUGGGCAGAAGCAACGGUGGUCUCAAACUGUGGUCUCAAACUGAGGACCAACCUUACUCAUAAUAAUGGCAACCAAGUCUGAUUUAGAAACUGGGGCGCCAGAGAUGGCAAAGUUGUCGGCAAGAAUAUUCACCUUGUCGAGAUAGUCGGCAAUAGAGAGAUCACCACGAGAGGUAUUCAUCAAUUCUGUUCGCAUUUGAAUAAUACGGUUCUGAGAGGUAGAGGCAUAGCGUUCCUGAAGAGACAACCAAGCAGAGGCCGAAUCAAUUUUGUUGACAAUAGUAGCAAGGACCUUGGGAGUAAGAGAACUAGUAAUCCAAGAGAGGAUCAUCUGAUCAGUUUGGAUCCAGUCAAGAUACGACGGAUUGACGGUGUCGGUAAUGGUACCCUUGUCAUCAGAAAGAAAAGCAGAAGGGCAUUUAUGUUCACCAGUAACAAAGGAGAGAAGGUUGCGGCUGCGCAGCAAGGGAAGAAACUGAGCACGCCAUAGGGGAUAGUUGUUGCGAUCGAGUUUUAUGGUAAGAAAAUUCGUAACUGAGGGAGCAGCAGCAGUAAAGGUAGAAGAAGAGGACGCCAUACUGGGAAGAGAACGGAGAGAGAAAAAAAUAAAAAAAAUAAAAAUUAAACGAUGAACCGUUGUCGUAAGACGCUGGCUCGUGAUACCAUGAAAGAUAUGAUUUCUGAAACUCAACUCAAUGAUUUGAGUGAGCCAAUUAGUAUUGAUAUAUAUAGCAUUACAAAGUAGACAUGUAGUAGAAUACAGAAAGUUCAAUUACAAGCAGUAUCGGAAACAAACUACUAAUCAAACUAGAACUCGGCUGCUGCUCAAGUAUCUGUAUAGGAAUGAACAUCCUGAGCGGAGAAGGAUGGAACAUCCUUGUUCUUGUGGGAGACUGGUUUAUCAGUAUCCUUAUGGAUUCCCAGAUGAAUCCUCAAAAUUUUGUUCUCAUCCGUUAGCUUAUGCACAUAGGACAAAAGCGGUUCAAUUGUUUCACACUUCUCAUUGUUUCUCCUUAUCAACUCAGCUCAUUGCUGCAUAUUUCGUCCAUGAGUUCCAAGAUCUUUUCAUGCAACAUUUUAUCUUUUUCAACCAUAUUACCAUCAGAUUCUACCCCAUGAUCAAUACUCUCUUUUUCCAUAUAUUCUUCAAAAGUACACAAACCAACCUUUUUUAGGAUAGACCAGCAUUUGUUUGUUUUGAUGGCACUGAAUUUUGUUUCCGUUUUCUCUUUUGUGGUAGUCUGAUAAAGAUGCACUCCAAAAAAUAAUUUGAGUGCCUAUACAGAUGAACAUCGCAUAAAAAUCAAAAAAUCAAAAAUCAAAAACAGCAGCAGAGAUAAAAAAAAAUGACAAUAAUUCUAAAAAAAUUUAAAUAAAAAACAGGAACCUCUGUGAGUUAAUUUUUUGGGCAAAAAAAAUUCUAUUAAUGCAUUCUCAUACAAAAAAUUUCUUUAAAUACUGAUUUCAUGCAAUCUAGGAGCUAAGUGCUUAAAUCAGAAAAUUUUCUUUAACCCAGAUACUCUUGUACUGCAGUGCAGCAAAGUUUUUCUUGAACCCUGACGAAUAUUGCUCUAAAAAUAUCCCAAAUAUAUCUCAGAGAUUGCAGAGAUUCAGACAAUCAAUAAUGGGACAACCGGAAUGUUCCUUGUUCGUUUGUCCUCCAUACUCUACCCUAAUCUUCUUAGGAUUUUAGUUAAACAACUUGCUCCUGUAACAGCUAUAUUAAAGCAUAAAUAUUCAUGAACACUCAUCACCAAUAGCAAAAAGGCACAAAGUAUUUUUACAGAAAUCUAAAGAUCCCUUUUGUGUCCCAAACCCAGGUCUGUCCACUAUUUGCCUUCCUCCUUCAGGGCAUAAUUAGAGAUACCCGCCAACAGUAUAACCAAAAAAAUUGCAGUGAGAUUUUAAAAUACGAACUUUAUUUGAUAUUGCAAUGAAAUAUAACAAAAUGUACAAAAAUUGUUAUUUUGGUAAACAAAUAGACAGUGGAAUAACAGAAGAAGCCGAACCCAGAAAAAAUAAAAACACAGAAUCACAGUAGAAGAAGCAAACCCAAGAAAAUACAGAAAAUAAAACAAAAAGGGUGCAACUUUUAUUGACGGGUGAAUGAGUAGACAAUAAAAAAAAUGCAAACUUUGAGUUCAAAACAAACCUUGUACCGUUUGAAAUUUGAGACUUGGAGUCGCCCACGGGAAGGGUUUUAUGAGAAGACAGUAUUAGGCGUGCUGAAGUUAGUUUAUGCUUUUAGUUGUAAAUUCACAUCUAAUACUGGUUGAACACAAAUUUCAGCAAAUACACAGAAGAAAUAGCAAGAAUUGAUUUCAGAAUUGGGAAAAAAUUAAAUUAAAAAUAGAAAACAAAGGGUCGAAAAGCUGCAUACCUAAACACCAUUUCAUAUCUUUUUAUCCUCUUCGAGUACCGAUCGAUUCCAUAGAGAGGGAGAGAGGAGGGAGACGACGAAGGGGAGAGGAGGGAGAGGAAGGCGAGAGGAGGAGAACGACUGAGGCGAUUUACUGUCUGUGUGGUUCUCGCGGGGACUGCGAGGUGAACUAGGAGAGGAAUGACCAGGUGGCUCUGGGCUUGAGGUCAGAGAGAAAAUGAGAGACCUAAACGGCUAGGGUUGGAAAUGAGAAUCUGGGCUCAGGGGCACAGAAGAUUUGG
rnacentral:lncRNA from 1 species